rnacentral:lncRNA from 1 species
GAUAUUUUAAUAGUAUUUCAAUUGAGUUGAUGUUCAAUUAAUUGGUGACAUCAACUCAGCUAAAAUUUAAUAUAAAUAUAGAAAUGGUAAGCAACAAUCUUUUUCCUCUUUUCUUGUAAUUUCCAAAUACUUAAGAGGGUUUGAAUAUGAAAUUAAUCCAUUUUCAACAAUGCAUUAAAUUGAAAAGGGGAAAAAGAAAAGGAAUUGUUAAGGUCGAAUGAAAGGAAAAUGUAUAUGUAAAUGCCUAAAUUUGACCGGGCCCAACAAGCCUAAAUCAGACAAAAGCAAAGCCAAGCAAAAAAUAAAUAAUUAAAUGUCCACAAGUCCAAAUUACAUAACCCAAUUUUAAACCCAAAACAUUACAAACUCAAACCCAAAUUUAAAACCCAAAACCGAAUUAACCCUAGCCCAAUACCCAAUGGCCCAACAAAUAAUAUUAACCUAGACCCAAAAAUAGAGCCCGAUAGGCCCAAUCCUUUAAAAGUUCUUGGAAACCCUAACCCUAACCCCAUUCGCUUGGCGUCGCAGCAGCCUCCAGCACUACCAUCGCUCGUGCCUCGGUACGCCGUACACCUCCACGUACCUGCAAGAAAACAAAAGGGAUAACUCAACAGACAAGAGAACAACAAAUGGAAACAAAAACAGAGGAAUAAAAAAAAGGGGCUAGUAUUUUCAUUUUUGAUUAUUGUUUGGCUAUAAAGCCAAAAAACAUUUUCAUUGUAAUGGACACACGCACACUUCGCAUAUUGUAAUACAGAAAAAGGCUAUCAAAAUCGAAAGGUGAUUUCCGAUUUAAAUCUUCGGGCAUUUUCUUUUUUUUUUUCUUUUUUCGGUUUCAUUCUUUGGUUUUUGUUGAUCUUUUUUUCUAUUCGAAGGCAUGAAUAAAAAGAAAAUGAGGGUUUACCUUUGCGAAAACGCAUUGGGGUCCUCCUUCGUCGAAGUCGAAGCUGAGAUGGGAUCUCAGGGUUGAAAUCGGCCUUGAGUCAUGGCUUAAGCAGAAAUAGGAGGGGCCCUCACACGAUCCACCGAUAAUAAUGGUGGAGUGGUGGUCAAACGGCGGGGAACCGAAUAGGAAGAGGCCUUAGGUUUUUUUUUCUUUCUUCUUUUUUUUUAAAAAAAAUGGUUUAAGUGCUCAAGCUUUUAGGUUUUUUUUUCCUUUUAUAUAUAUCAUAAAACGGCGUCGUUUUAAGCCGUGAAUAUUGGCUUUGAAACGGCAUCGUUUCACUAUGCAAACCCAAUGACCCAACCAGAUGCAAUCAGAUCCGCGUGUUUUGGGUCUUUGAGGGUUAUUUUCUUGAUCAGUCCUUCUUUUUUCGCGCUACCAUUCAAUUACAUGUUAUUUGUUGAUUUCAUUUUUAAUUUAGCCUGGCAAUUUGCACACAUUUGCAAUUGGAUCUGCGCAUCAAUACAGUGUUUUGGGGAUCUGGAAUAUUUCUAGCUUUAGUCCCUAUACAUUUGCACACAUUAUGCGGUGGUUCUCAUUUUAAUUUCAAAAAUUUAUUUCAUUUGUAAAUUAUCCCUCUUGUUUUAAUUUUUUUUAAUUAGGUUUUUUUUUUUAUCUUCAUCUUUAUUCAUUGCACAUUCAUUUUCUUUUUGAUUAUUUGUUUUCAUAUUUUGAGUUGCCUUGAUAACUGAUUUUUUUUUUAAAAGUCACUAUUGUAAUUUUUUUUUCUUUUGUUUUAUCAUAUUAUUUUAACAUUUUGUAUACUAUUAUGUAUAAUUUGAAAUAAAGUUCAUUUUAGUCUAUAUAUACUAUUAAUUUUAUGUUAUUUUAUACAUAUAACUUCUUUUAAACCUAUUCACGUAUUUUAAUAUAUAUUCUUAAAAGGAAAAUCCAUAUACUUUAUGUACUAUUUAAACUAUUAAUAUUCAUAUACUUGGUACACAUAUUUGAUCUAUAUUCAUUAUUAAAUCCAUGUUAUUACAAACAUAUAGUUUUUUUUAAAAAAAAGGGGUCUAUUUGUAUAAAAAAUUAUGUUGUUAAAAUCUAUUAUAUAUAUAAUUUACGAUAAAAUUAAUCUAAUUUUAUAAUUCAUAUUUUAAUUUCAUGUUAUUUUUGCAUAUAAUUGUUUCUAAAUUUACUCACAUGUAUAUAUAUUUAGCUUCAUACUUCACACCUAUACUAUCCUUUCACAUUUUAUGUAUUAUUUAAAUUAUUCUUAUUGUAGAGAUAUUAUCAAUUUUAAAUAAAUGUUUUAUUUUUAAAUAUUUAGCACAUUAUUUGAUCCAAAUGUUUUUGCAACAUCUAUUUUACAAAUUUACAUAUAUAUACCCUUAAUUUUUCUUUUAUAAAUUAUUUCAAGUUCUAGCAUAUGUUAUUUGCUCGUUAGUCCAUCAUUUUUAGAAAUUAUUUUUAUGUCGUGUUGAUUUUACAUUGUUUGGUAUCUCAUGUGUUAAUUAUCUUCAUGAUAUUUCAUGUAUAUUUGCUACAUCUUGUUUGCUCGUUUUUUUGUGUUAUCAAAUCAAUUGUUGUUCACCCAUGCUUGUGAAUUUUGUUAUAUUUUGAGUUAAUUGUCUGUUUGGUUAAUUGGUUAAACAAGGUUAUUUUAUCUUUGUUCACCAAAUAUUGUAUUUUAUGCAUGUAUAUUAUCCCGUGAUAAUUAUUUUUCUUUUGGUUUACAAAAUGUUGCUUUAUGGUUUUCAACUCUUAAAAAUCAAUUAUUUCAUUCUAUUUCAAGUAAAAUUAAUGCGUUUUAAGCUAGUUUUAUAAUUAUCCAUUUAAAAAUUCUCUAAAACGAAGGCGAUGUUCGAUGUUUGACAAUUCGGGGAAUCGUGCCCUAUCGUGCUGGGUUGCAAUUUCUUGUUUGUUCAACAUAAUCGAAUAUUCCUUUGAAAUUUCGCUCAUGUCUUUAAAAAUUAUUUAAAACGAAGGAAAUGUUCGAUGUUUGGAAACUCGGGGAAUCAUGCCCUAUCGUGCUAGGUUGCAAUUUCCCGUUUAUUCAAGAAUAAUUGAAUAUCCCUUUAGAAUUUCACUCAUGUUUUCUAGAUUCUGAAACAAGGCAAUGUUCAAUGUCUAGAAAUUCGAGGAAUUGUGCCCUACUAUGUUGGGUUUCGAUUUUUCUCGUUGGACUAAAUAAUUGGGCAUCCUUCUGUGAUUUUUAACAUAUAAGCUUUUGGAACUCAAAAUUUAUCGUGUUUUCGAGGGUAUAAAGGAUCGUGUCCUAUCGUGCUGGAUGUGAUGCUGUAUUCCUCUGAAACAAGAGAAUUUUGACGACCAACUUGGGCCAUUCAAAUGUUUAUAAAAUGAACCAUAUUUCAAAAAUGUUUUUUAAAUCUUAGACAUAAGGACAGUAUUUAAUCAAUUUGGUACCAAUUUUGGGCGUAGUGAGGGUGCCAAUCAUUCCUCAUGCGUAACCGACUCCCGAACCCGUUUUCUCAUAUUUACGUAGGCCAAAAUUGAUUUAAAUGGAAUAAAAUGCUUUAUUAGGUGAUGCAAUCACACCUAAACAAAAAGGAUUUGUGGCAACUCCAUAUUUCGUUUUCAAAGUCGAUCCACGUUUUUUAAAAUUUGACAAAAAAUGGUUUCAACAGCAUGGCGACUCCACUGGGGAAUUUGAGAGUCGAGCCAUAAAAUUGAUUAAUUUCUGUCCUUUUGUCUAAAAUUGAAAUUUUGAUUUGAUUCUUUGUUGUAUUCAUUUGCAUGAUUGUUGUUAUUCGAGUGUCGUAGUGUACUAUUGCAUUGCGUUGCAUGACCGGUAUGGUCACACCCUCUAAGUGGGAGUGAGAAACUAUGCCUUCGAAAGGUUUUCAUCUCCGCAUGGGCUAGUGAAUUACUUCCGGGAUACAUCCGUACCUAUGAUUUUGUGAGAUUUUCAUCUCCGCAUGGUCAUAGGGAAAUGUAUUCCCCUGAACUGAACUCAAUCCAUAUGAGCCUAUAAUGGGUGAGGAUUGAGGAAUCUGCUAGUUCAGGUACCCUCUCCCUAGAACCGAGCCACAUAUAGUGAACCUUGAGAGUCCACCUUAGGUAAGACCUUGCCCAAAUUUAGUGGUCACCCGAAUAGGUACUUUAUUUGUUAUUUAUUUCUAUACUAACGUGUUUUGUUUUUGUUUGUUUAUGACUGCAUUGCAUUACAUCAUCAUAGAAAGGAGGUGUUGAUUCAUAUUUGAUUGCUAAAUAGAGCAGUUUGUCAUAAGAAAACAAAUUUUUUGAUAAAGUGGAUUACAAUACGGUUGUCUGAAUAUGGUCCAAGUGAACACGACAGAAGAAGGCUAACAGUUCGCGAAGGAAAAUAAGACUUUACCUAAGGAUUCAAGUUGAUAAAGAUUCUUCAAAAGCCGUCGCAUCCCGACUUUCUUAAAGGAGCUAAUCAACAUUGCGAGGAUAGUAAGUCGUGGCCUGGAUCAAGCAAAAAGGAACUAGUAGAGGCAUUUAUUGGAAGCUUGCGAGAUUUGACUUUCACUAAGAAAAGGGAUCAGUGUCUUCGCCUGAAAUAUGAAAGCAAGGCCGUAUACGUAAUCUGUUUUAUGUAAAAGAAUUUGUUUUCUAGAAAAGUUUUUCUAAAGGAAUUGAAUUCAAAAUCAACAUAUUUCUUUCCUUUACAUUCAUCCUAUGCAUUUGCAUUGCAUUGCAUCAUUUGCAUUAGAUUUUCCCAAAAGGACUCUAAUGAGGUAAAAUUAUUUCAGAACCGACAAAGGAUAUGGACCAAAGGUUGGGGAGAAUAGAGCAAAAGCAAAUACAGAUGCAAGAGCAAUUGGUCAAAAUUCAACAAGAUAUGCGAGAACAAAUGCUAGAACUCCAAAGAAAUAUGAUGGGCCAGUUAACCCAGUUACUGGCCGGAGAAUUUGAAAAAAGGAGUGGCCCAGUGGUCAAUAGUGAGGAUGAUAAUGAAGAGAUCAUCUAUUCCCUAGGUUUUACCCCAAUAAGUGUCCUGACCCAACCAAACAUGCAAGGGGUACUCGUCAUUAUCGGACCCCAAUAUCAGGCCGAUACCUCGACACUGUUAAACUUUCGAUGGGUUCAAGUUUUAAUCCAAAAGAUGAUCAAGCCAAACCGGUUGUUUUGGCAUAAACGAAAGAAAUGAGAGAGUGGACUUUAAAGGCCCCAAAAAAGAAGGAGAAGAAAGAAAAUAGUACGAGUGGGUAUAACAAGGGUCGUUCAGAGCCGAUUAUAGUAAGCCAGCCAAGGACGGUAACUACUAGCCGUCAAGUCUCCCCAAGGUAAGAACCCAAUUGAGGAUCGAAUUUAGAAAAACCCCAAUUCACGCCCAUCCCAAUCACGUAUAGGGAGUUGUACCACAUUCUUUUCGACGCACAUGUUGUGUCCCCUUUUUACAUAGAACCAAUACAGCCUCCAUACCUUAAAUGGUACGAUGCAAGCGGCCAAUGUGAAUACCAUGCGAGAAUCACGGAGCAUGCCAUCGAGAACUAUACCGCUUUUAAAAAGCUAGUCGAAAGAUUUAUCAAAUUGGGUAUCAUGAAAUUCGAUGAUCCCUCUGGAGCAGGAAAUCUGUUAUCCAACCUUUCUGUUAAAGGGGUGGACAUUAUGAGUUCCAUGAUGGAUAGGGGCACGAGACCCAAAAGUGCAUCGAGCUCAGAACUCUAGUGUAAGACCUGGUAUUGGGGAAUCCGAACAUUAACGACGUAACAGAAGAGAGAACCCGGGAAUAGAAUUUUUUUGAGCAUCUGCCCUUUACAUACUUGGGAUUGUUUUGAACAAUGGGACUGUGAAAGAGAUCCUUGCAUUUUUAGAGCUAAUCUAGAGUAAUAUUCAAAACACACUUGUUGUUUUAAGCCUAAAAGCAACAAGAAUCCUUGUGUGAAAUAGGCUUAUAUCCAAAAUCUUUAUUUCAAUGAAAUGCAUGUUCGUUAUCAUUUUGAGUAAAUAUUCUUUUAUUCUUUCCAUGUCAUACCGUGCAAACAAUUAUUCUUAAAUUCUUUUAUUUUUUGGACAUUCUUUCAAAUAUUUUUCAUUCAUUAUCAUACCAUACAAAUAAUCAUCCUUAGAAUUAUCUAUUCUUUGAAAACUACCUUUGUACCUACAACAGGUCUCCAGAUAUCAAUGACGGGAGCGACGCUGUCACUGACUCCGAGUCUCUUUUUGAGUAAGAUAUGUCUCUUUUAGAGCUUGAGCAGUUAGAAUUAAAAACUGUAUUUUUGCAUGGAGAACUUGAAGAGGAUAUUUACAUGCAACAACCAGGGGGUUUUACAGUCUCAAAAAAAGAGGACUAUGUUUGCUUGCUGAAAAAAUCCCUUUACGGUUUGAAACAGUCACCAAGACAGUGGUAAAAGAGGUUUGAUUCCUUUAUGACUUUUCAUGAUUUUAAAAGAAGUAGUUUUGACAGUUGUGUUUACUUUAAGAAAAACAGUGAUGGUUCUUUUUUGUAUCUACUUCUUUAUGUUGAUGACAUGUUGAUAGCAGCAAAAGAUAAAGGAGAGAUAAGAAAAGUCAAAGCCCAACUAAGUGAAGAAUUUGAGAUGAAAGAUUUGGGACCAGCAAAGAAGAUACUUGGUAUGGAGAUUCUUAGAUAUUGAAAAGUAAGUAAAUUGUACCUAAGUCAGAAGGGAUACAUUGAGAAAGUUCUUUGCAGGUUCAAUAUGCAGAGUGCUAAACCUGUUAGUACUCCUUUAGUAGCCCAUUUCAGACUUUCAUCACCUUUGUCUCCACAAUCAGAUGAUGAGAUUGAGUACAUGUCACAUGUUCCAUACUCUAGUGCAGUGGGAUCUCUCAUGUAUGCUAUGGUUUGCUCAUGUCCAGAUUUAUCAUAUGCAGUUAGUGCAGUUAGCAGAUAUAUGGUGAAUCCCGGUAAAGAAUAUUAGAAAGUAGUUCAGUGAAUUUUAAGAUAUUUACGAGGUACUAUUGAUGUUUGCUUACAGUUUGCAAGAACUAGAGAUGGAGUAAUUGGGUAUGUUGAUGCUAAUUUUGCUGGAGACCUUGAUAGAAAAAGAUCUCUCACAGGUUAUGUCUUUACAAUCGGAGGUUGUGCAAUUAGUUGGAAAGCCACUUUGCAAACUACAGUCGCUUUGUCUACCAUUGAAGCUGAGUACAUGGCGAUUACUGAGGCUUGUAAAGAAGCUAUUUGGUUGAAAGGACUCUUUAGUGAACUCAAUGAAGACCUUCAAAUUACUACAGUAUUUUGUGACAGUCAAAGUGCCAUCUUUCUUACAAAAGAUCAAAUGUUUCAUGAGAGAACAAAACAUAUUGAUGUUCAGUGUCAUUUUGUUCGUGAUAUUAUUACUCGUGGUGAUAUUGUUGUGAGCAAAAUUAGUACUCAUGGAAAUCCUACAGAUAUGAUGAGUAAGUUACUUCCUAUAACCAAGUUUGAGCAUUGCUUAGAAUUGGUUGGUGUUCAUUGUUGAAGUUAAACCCUUAAGGGGUUUUAUGGAAGAGGUGGAGAACUUGUUCGUUGAAAGUUCACGAUGAAGAACUUGUUCAUUAAGAAUUCGUGUCAAGGUGGACAUUGUUAGAAUUAAGUGACCUGAAUCCUUAUUUAAAUAAAAUACAGUGGUAAAAUAAAUAAAAGAAGAAUCCAUAUAGAAUUACACUUCUUUUAAUCUCUAUGUCUGUACCGAAAUCGCAAUUCGGUGAUAGAGUUUAGAGCAAGCUUAAGCAAGAUAGAAGAGAUGAAAGGGAAGAUAGAAGAAUUAGAGGUGGCAUUGCAGAGUUGUAAAAUGAGGAUCGAGUUCUUGGAGGCAAAUGAAGAUCAAUGGAAAGGACAGCUUCAUCACUCUCAAAAUCAAGUUAGAAGUAGGGAUUACAUUAUGGGAGAGGCCGUAACACAAAUUCGAGAAGUAGCUGAUUACUUGCAGACUUUGGCGGUACAAGCAGACAUAUUAAGUGUGAAGUAUGAGUUGGAGUCAGAUAAGGGGCAAGAGCUAGCUUCGUUGCUUAAGAAAAUUAAAGUUCUGAGUAUUAGGGCGAAAUCUUAUUUGUAACUCGGUUUUAUGUAAAGAAUUUUGUUUUCUAAUAAAGUUUUCUAAAUGGAAUUGAAUCAGAAUUGAUGCCUCAUUUGCAUUCAUGCAUUUGCAUUAUAAUACAUCAUAUGCAUUAAAAGCCAUUAAAAGAUUCUAAUUAAUUAAAAAUCAUUUCAAUAAUCUAGAAACCAACAAAAAUGCACCAAAUAUGCAUCCCUACGGUACAAGGAAAAAGACCAAGUUAAUAGACAAAAGACUUGAAAAGUUAGAGCAAAUGCAAAGGGAUAUGCAAGAACAAAUGCAAUCACAGAUGCAAGAGCAGUUAGUUAAGAUUCAGCAAGAGAUGAAGGAUCAAAUGAUGGAGUCCCAAAGAGAUAUGAUGAAUCAAUUGUCCCAAUUGCUGGUAGAAAGGAUGGAUAAGGGGAAAGGUCUUAUGGAUAAUGUUGAGGAAAAUAAUGAAGACCCUCAAUAUCCUCCUGGUUUACUUCAACACAUGUACAGACACAACCUGAGAUUAAUCUGCAGAAACCAUCUGUUACGAUCAGGCCUCAACAGUUUCAGGUCGGAGUUUCAAUACCAUUGAAUUUCCAGGCUAGUUCAGGUUUUAAUCCUAGUAAUAACUCAAAUAAUUCAAUGGUGCCUGAUUUGGAUGAAGUUGUAAAAGAGGAAAGGGCAAGGACAGAAUCACAGAAACAAUUGGAGGUGCGGUGUAAAUGACUGGAGGAAAGGGUCAGGGCAAUGGAAGAUGUUGAUAGACAUCCUGGAAUUGAUGCAAAGGAUCUGAGUUUGGUUCCAGACUUAGUACUUCCAUACAAGUUCAAGAUGCCAGAAUUUGAGAAGUACAAUGGAACGAGCUGUCUUGAAGCUCAUAUUACUAUGUUUUGCAAAAGAAUGACUAGGUAUGUUAAUAAUAAUCAAUUGUUGAUUCAUUGCUUCCAAGACAGUUUGGUGGGAGUAGCAGCUAAAUGGUAUAAUCAGUUGAGUCGAAACAGAAUUAGUUCAUGGAGAGAUUUGGUACAAGCAUUCAUGAAACAAUACAGCCAUGUAACAGAUAUAACUCCUGACAGAAUUACUCUGCAGAAUAUGGAAAAGAAAUCAAACGAAAGUUUCAAGCAAUAUGCACAGAGACAGAGGGAAGUGGCCAUCCAGGUUCAGCCACCACUCUUGGAGAAGGAAACUACAAUGCUUUUUAUUAAUACUUUAAAAGCUCCAUUCAUAACUCACAUGUUAGGAAGUGCCACAAGGAGUUUUGUAGAUGUAGUAAUGACUGGAUAAAUGAUUGAGAAUGCAAUAAGAAAUGGAAGGAUAGAUGAAGGAGAAAAUGCCAAAAGGUCUGCCUCGUAGAAAAAGGAAAAUAAGGUGAAUAAUGAAAACAUAGGGUAUUCAAAGUCUGUUACUGUAAGUCAACCAAAGGCGAUAACUGCUGGUCAGGGUUCAUCAAGGCAGGAAUCUGGAGCAAAGCAAAAUAAUGAGAAACUUCAAUUUACUCCAAUCCCCAUGACGUAUAAAGAAUUAUAUCAAAGUUUGUUUGAUACACAUGUGGUGGCACCUUUUUAUCUAAAGCCAUUACAGCCUCCAUUCCCUAAAUAGUACGAUGCCAAUACUCAAUGUGAGUAUCAUACGGAGAUCGUAGGACAUUCGAUAGAAAAUUGCAAUACUUUUAAGAAGCUAGUUGAGAGAUUUAUUUAGAUAGGCAUUGUGAAGUUUGAUAAUGCGCCCAGUGCAGAAAAUCCGUUACGUAAUCAUACUGAUAGUGGGUAAACGUGAUAGAUGGAGGUAUGGGAAAAAGAGUCAAGACGGAUAUUACAGAAGUAAAAACUCCUUUGAAAUGGGUUUGGAAGGAGAUGGCAAAAGGAGGGUUAGUUGCUUCGAGUUCAGAAGGAAGUUGGAAUGAGAUAGAGAAUUACUGUGAGUUUCAUCAUGAAAAAGGGCAUAGAAUUCAGGAAUGUGAAGAGUUUAGAGUUGCUAUCCAGGGCUUGAUGGACAACAAGGAAAUAGAAUUUUAUGAAGAGGUUAAGAAAGAGGAGUAUAUAUGCGCGUCAGAAUCCACGUCGAGUGUCUCAAAAGUUAAUUAUCCCGUGGUUAUCAUUUCAUAUCCUAAAAAUGAAGCAGGAAUUCAGAUGACACCGAAUAUCAUAAUUCAAAAACCAUCGAUUUUCUCUUACAAUGAUAACAAAAGGGUCCCUUGGAACUAUGAUUGUAAUAUGAUAGUCCUGAGAAAGGAGAGUUCAGUCAGCUUGUUAAAGGAGGAUCAAAACAUAAGUUAUCACACGCAUAGUGGAAAAUGAUAUAAUUUGAUAAAUGCCUGAAUAGAGCCUGUAAAAGGAAAAGAUUUGAUGGUUGAACAAAAUAGAAGAAAAGUGGUCGAACCUGGGGUGCCUAUUAAUGAACCAGUGAAAGAAGAAGAAGCUAAGGAAUUCCUGAAAUUUCUGAAGCAAAGUGAGUACAAUGUGGUGGAACAGUUGUAUAAACAGCCAGCCCACAUAUCCAUAUUAGCUUUGCUCCUAAGCUCAGAGGUACACCGAAGAGCAUUAAUGAAAGUGCUGAACGAGACGUACGUGACCAAUGAUAUUUCUGUCAACAAGUUGGAUCGGUUGGUUAAUAACAUAAGUGUAGACAACUUCAUCUUUUUCAAUGAUGAUGAGAUACCACCAAGAGGUAUGGGAUCUACCAAAGCUUUGCAUAUAACCACUAGAUGUAAAGGAUAUACAUUGCCAGGGGUUCUGGUUGACAAUGGGUCGACAUUGAACGUGUUGCCCUUGUCCAUGUUAAACAAGCUACCUGUGGAUAGCUCACACAUGAAGGGGUGUCAGAAUAUAGUGCGAGCAUUUGAUGGCACGGAAAGGAGAGUCAUAGAGAGAAUAGAAAUACCUUUGUUGAUUGACCUAACUACAUAUGAGGUAGAUUUCUUGGUGAUGGAUAUUAAGCCCUCUUACAACUGCCUGUUAAGGAGACAUUGGAUACAUUCGGCAGGGGCAGUGCUUUCGUCAUUACAUCAGAAGUUAAAGCUAAUAUCAAAAGGACUGUUGGUAACGAUAAAUGCUGAAGAAGAUAUUAUUGCGGCUGUGAGCAGUGAUGCGUCAUAUUUAGAAAUAGACGAGAAAGCUAUUGAAUGUUCUUUUCGGUCUUUGGAGUUUGUAAAUGCAACAUUCAGCACUGAGGGAAGUAGAAUUCUGGAGCCGAAAAUAUCCAAAACUACGAUGAUGGGUUUACAGUUGACGGUAAAAAAGGGGCUUUACCAGGAAAGGGAUUGGGGAGAUGUCUUCAGGGAAGAGUUGAGGUUCUGAUGUUGAAAGACAAGUAUGAUCGCUUUGGUUUAGGGUUCAAGCCAGAUGCAAAUCAAAGGAAAAGGGAAUUGAAAAAAAGGCAGGAAAGAAGAAGAGCACGUGUUAGUGGUGGAUAAAUUCAGUGGGAACCCAUGAUAAUCCCUCACAUCUCCACGACUUUUGUAUCAGGAGGAAUUAUUUAUCCUGAACAAGGAAUGCCAGAGAAAAAAAUAUGGAAGGAGAUUGGGAAAUGUACACAUCAAUGCCAUAUUUGAAGAAGCAAUUGAAAAGGGUAUUUCGUCAAAUAUUCGUCCAUAUGAGCCUGGGAGUGUUCUAGACAAUUGGACUGCAGAAGACCUUCCUGUAGUUUUAAACCUAGAGGCAAUAAGGAUUUCUCUGUGAAAUAGGCUCAUGUUCAAACAUCAUUAUUUCAAUUAAGUACAUUUUUUGCUAUCAUUUUGAGCAAACAUUCUUUUAUUCUUUUCACAAGCAAUUGUGUUAUUCCAUUUAAAUAAUUAUCUUGAUUCUUUUUUGGACUUUCUUCAAUCAUUCUUUUAUUUCAUUUAUAAACAUACCAUACAAACAAUAAUUAUCAAAUUCAUUCAUUCUUUGUAUAUUUUUUUGUACCUAUAAUAGGUCCCUGGAUAUCAAUAUCAUAAGUGACGUUGUUACUGACUCAGAAUCACUAUUUGAGCAAGACAUGUAUUUAGAGGGAUCUUAGGAAUUUGAAGAUGACAGAGACUGUGAUUGAUUUUUGGACUUGUUAAGGAUGGUAGAGCAAGAGGAAAAGAAAAUUUCACCUCAUAAAGAAGUAGUGGACAUGGUAACUUUAAAAGAGGGGAAAGUUGUAAAAAUUAGAACAUGCAUAAUUGAAGAAACAAAGCAAGACCUUGUUGAGUUGCUUCAGGAAGUUAAAGAUGUUUUUGCAUGGUCGUACCAGGAUAUGCUCAGUUAAAGCACUGAUAUUGUAGUACAUCGCUUUCCUAUAAAAUAAGAUUGCAAGCUAGUGCAGCAGAAACUUUAAAGAAUAAGGCCAGAUAUUGUCUUAAAGAUAAAGGAGGAAGUCAAAAAGCAAUUUGAUGCUGGAUUCCUUCAAGUGAUCAAGUAUUCAAAAUGGGUAGCCAACAUUGUGCCUAUUCCUAAGAAGGACGGUAAGGUGCGAAUGUGUGUGGAUUAUAGAUAUUUAAAUAAGGCUAGCCCAAAGGACCAUUUCCCCUUGCCUCACAUUGAUACGCUAGUGGACAAUACGACUAGCUACUCGUUGUUUUCCUUCACGGAUAGCUUUUCGGGGUAUAAUCAGAUCAAGAUGCAUCCUGAGAACAUGGGAAAGACUACUUUCAUAACUUUAUAGGGCACAUUCUAUUAUAAGGUGAUACCGUUUAGACUGAAGAAUGCUAGAGCAACAUAUCAAAAGGAAAUGGUGACCUUAUUUCAUGAUAUGAUGCACAAAGAGAUCGAAUUUUAUGUUGAUGAUAUGAUAGCCAAAUCUCGAACUGAAAUGAAGUACAUUCGAGUGUUGAGAAAGUUGUUCAUGAGAUUAAGAAAAUUUCAGCUAAAACUUAAUUCAACCAAGUGUACCUUUGGGGCUAGAUCAGGAAAGCUAUUGAGCUUUGUAGUCAGUGAGAGAAGAAUUGAGAUUGAUUCAAACAAAGUUUUGGCUAUACAAGAGUUGCCUCCACCACACACUCAAAAAGAAGUUCGAGGCUUCCUAUUUCUCAAUUAACAGAGAAAUGUGACCCCAUAUUUCGCCUUUUUAAAAAGCAUAACCCAGGAGAAUGGGAUAAUGAAUGCCAGAGAGCUUUUGAUAAAGUUAAAAAAUAUUUGUCGAGUCCUCUAGUGUUAUCACCUCCAAGCUCAGACAUGCCAUUGAUACUGUAUUUAACCGUGUUUGGUAAUUCUAUGGGAUGUAUGCUUGGGCAACAUGAUGAAUCAGGAACAAAAGAAAUGGUGAUAUAUUACCUCAGUAAAAAAUUCACUGAGCGUGAAUUGAGAUAUUCGCCAAUUGAAAAUUUGUGUUGUGCCUUGGUCUGGACAGCUCGGAGGUUGAGGCAAUACAUGUUGUACCAUAUGACUUGGUUAAUCUCAAAGUUAGAUCCUCUAAAGUAUAUGAUAGAGUCAAAUUCCUUGAAUAGAAGAAUGGCUAGAUGGCAAAUUUUGCUUUCUGAAUUUGACAUAAUCUAUGUGAGUCAAAAAUCUGUAAAGGGAGUGAAAUAGCAGAUUUUUUGGCCAGCCGAGCUUUAGAAGAUUAUGAACCCUUGAAUUUUGAUUUCCCCAAUGAGGAGAUAGUUUAUGUGGCAACUACUGAAGAGGACACUACAAAAGAUCACUCUUGGAAAUUGAAUUUUAAUGGAGCCUCAAACGCUGUGGGUAAUGGAAUUGGAGUAGUCUUGGAAUCUCUAGGUGGAGAUCAUUAUCCAUUCACAUGAAAUUUGGAUUUUGAUUGCACAAAUAAUAUGGCAGAGUAUGAUGCAUGUAUCAUGGGACUCCGAGCAGCUAUAGAACGCAAAAUCAAGUCACUGGAAGUAUAUGGAGACUCUGCACUGGUGAUUUACCAACUUCGAGGUGAAUGUGAGACAAGAGAUUCCAAAUUAAUCAAUUAUAGAAAGUUGGUGUUAUGGUUGGUUGAAGAGUUUGAUGAUAUUACUUUCAAUUAUCUCCUGUGUGAUGAAAACCAAAUAGUAGAUGCUUUGGCUUCCAUGAUCCAAGUGAGCAGACAAGAAGAUGUGAAACCCAUUCAGAUGAGUAUUUGUGAGGCCCCUUCUUAUUGUUAUAAUAUAGAGGAAGAAGAGAAAGAUGAUCACCCUUGGUAUAAGGAUAUACUGAGGUAUGUGAGAAAUCAUGAAUAUCCGGAUCAAGCAACGAAGAAUGACAAAAGGACAUUAGGAAGACUAGCAUGUGAUUAUGUCUUAGAUUGAGAGAUCCUAUACAAAAUAAAAGAUCAAGUACUAUUGAGGUGUGUGGAUGCUGUAGAGGCCAAGAAAAUUUUGGAAGAGGUUCACGAACGCGUUUGUAGAAUACAUGCUAAUGGGUUCACGAUGGCUAGAAAUUAUGAGGUUUGGAUAUUAUUGGUCAACUAUGGAAGGAUACUGCAUCAAUUAUUCUAAGAGAUGUCACAAAUGUCAAAUUUAUGGUGAUAAGAUUCAUGUACCUCCCUCGCCUUUGCAUGUUAUGACUUCUCCAUGGCCGUUUUCCAUGUGGGGUAUGGAUGUCAUAGGGUCAAUUUCACCAAAGGCUUCAAAUGGGCAUCGUUUCAUCUUUGUGGUCAUUGAUUAUUUUACUAAGUAGGUGGAAGCUGCUUCAUAUGCCAAUGUAACUAAAUCGGCAGUCAGCAAAUUUUUAAAGAAGGAAAUUAUAUGUCGUUAUGGGAUGCCAGAAAGGAUCAUAUCUGAUAAUGUAUUAAAUUUGAACAAUAGCACAAUAGCAGAGGUCUGCAGUCAGUUUAAGGUCAGACACCAUAAUUCAUCACCAUAUCGCCCAAAAAUGAAUGGGGCAGUGGAAGCAGCCAAUAAAAAUAUCAAGAAGAUUGUGGGAAAAUGACCGAAACUUAUAGAGAUUGGCAUGAGAAGUUGUCAUUUGCUCUCCAUGCUUAUCGAACAUCUGUCAGAACUUCUACUAGGGCAAUGCCUUUUUCAUUAGUUUAUGGAAUGGAAGCUGUUCUACCCAUUGAGGUGGAGAUACUUUCUCUCCGAGUUUUGUCAGAAUUGAAGUUAGAUGAAGCCGAAUGGAUACAAUCUCGAUAUGAUCAGUUGAAUUUGAUUGAAGAAAAUAGGCUAAGGGCUAUUCAGCAUGGUCAGAUGUAUCAAAAAAGAAUGAUGCGAGCUUAUGACAAAAAGGUUCGCCCAAAAAAGUUUCAUGAGGGAGAUUUGGUUUUGAAAAAGAUCCUUCCCAUACAAAAGAAUUUCAGAGGAAAAUGGAUGCCAAAUUGGGAGGGGCCUUAUGUGGUGAAGAAAGCUUUCUCUAGAGGAGCAUUAAUCCUAGCUGAAAUAGAUGGAAAAAAACUUGUCUAAUCCAGUGAACUCGAAUUCAGUCAAAAAGUACUACACUUAAUGAAGGGAAGAAGACAAAGUGAAAACCCACAAAGAACGCUUUGGGAUUUUCUUUAAAAAAUAAAAGGGCCAAAGUGAAAACCCGCAAAGGGCGCUUUGAGACUCAAUAAAAAAUAAAAUUCAAAAAAAAAAGAGAGGCCAAGGUGAAAAUCCGCAAAGGGCGACUUGAGACCAAAGAGGAUUUAAGUUGAAAACCCGAAAAGGGCGGCUCAGAUGUUGAUCUAAAAUGGGAAAGGCGAUGAUCUUGCUAUACUUGAAUUAACAAGGAAAGAGUAUGUUGCAUCUUGGGCCAUUGACAGAGUACUGCUGAUCUCCUAAACACAUGUCAAGUUUAAGUUGGUCUUCAAGAAGUUCGUACGGAGAAACUCAGUUUGCGAUAUCAAGAGGACCUAGUCUUUAUUUUAUUUCCAAUAAAUUGGCUAUCUUUGAAUUAGUCUUUCUUUUUCAAGAUAUACAUUCCAAUAUCAAUUGCCAUUUUUGUUCUUUUGAUGAUGUAUUCACUUUAAGCUCAAAUUCAAUUUCAUUCUUAUCCAUUAUUACGAUUUGAUUGCAAGCAUGUUGCAUUGAAAUAAUGAUGAAUAAACUAGUAAUGUUUACACAAUAGAAGUUUCACAUAUUACUUUAGGAGUUUCUAAAUAAUGCAAGAAUCUGAACUAGGACUAUUGUUUAGAAUGCACCAAAGUUCAAGGACAUACUUGAAUAAAUCACCUCUUUGGAUUUUUGUCCAAAUGAUGAUUGAACAAAAUGACAAGAUAGGGCGUUGGUGAUAUAAUUUUGGAAAAAUGAUCAAUAUAAAAAGGAAUUAUUCUCAAAAAAAGGGAAAUGAUAUUUUGUAUCUAUACAAAUAUCAAACAAGCGCAUCUGGAUAUGACACCCGAGGAGUGAGGAAACAGAUCGAACAAAGGAAAAUUCAACUAGGAGUUGCAAUAAUUUUGUCUCAGAAAGAAUAAUGGAAGGGACGUUGGAAUUACAGUGGGGCAAGCUUGUUGAGCAAAAUAUGAUUUUUACUUUGGGAUACUCUGUCGAGAUGAUGGUUGAGAGAAUACGUCAGUGACAGCAUGCUAACGAACAACGAGUGAUGAUACCUUAAAUUUUAAAAUGGAAUCAUUCUCAUUUCUGCAUAUAUCAUUUAUAUUAGUUAGGAGCAUUGGAUUCAUUUCAAUCAUAGCAUCCUAAUCAUUUGGCAUAAACAUGCGCAUAUAAAAUCGAGUCUACAGGACAUAUUUCCCAGAGGACAGUGUAGUGACAUUGGUGAAGUCAGAUCUUAUCUCCCUGAAGUGGCAGUGGAGCAGGUUCAAAAUGUGGUCUUAUCUUCCUCAGGUAGAAAUGAAGCAGACUGAAGAUUGAAGAUCUUAUCUCCCUAAGCAGUAGUGGAGCAGAUCGAAAGAGGCGAAUCUUAUCUCCAUGUAUCGGCAAGGGAGUAAAUUUUAGCCACCAGCCUUAUCUCUCUGAGGUAGCAAGAGAGCAGGUUGAAGAUGGUGGUCUUAUCUUCUUGAGGUAGUAAGGAAGCAGACUGAAAAUUGAAGAUCUUAUCUCCCUAAGCAGUAGUGGAGCAGAUCGAAAGAGGUGAAUCUUAUCUCCAUGUAUCUGCAAUGGAGCAGAUUUUAGCCACUAGCCUUAUCUCUCUGAGGUAGCAAGAGAGCAAGUUGAAGAUAGUGGUCUUAUCUUCCUGAGGUAGCAAUGAAGCAGACUGAUGAUUGAAGAUCUUAUCUUCCUAAGCAUUAGUGGAACAGAUUGGAAGAGGUAGAUCUUAUCUCCAUGUACUGGCAAUGGAGCAGAUUUAAGCCCCAAGCCUUAUCUCUUUGAGGUAGUAAGAGAACAGGUUGAAGAUUGAGUCUUAUCUUCCUAAGGUAGCAAGGAAGCAGACUGAAGAUUGAAGAUCUUAUCUCCCUAAGUAGUAGUGGAGCAAAUCGGAAGAGGCGGAUCUUAUCUCCAUGUAUCAGCAAUGGAGCUGAUUUAAGCCCCAAGCCUUAUCUCUCUAAGGUAGCAAGAGAGCUGGUUGAAGAUUGAGUCUUAUCUUCCUGAGGUAGCAAGAUCGAAAAUGGUGAAUCUUAUCUCUAUGUAUCGGUAAUGGAGCAGAUUUAAGCCACCAGCGUUAUCUCUCUAAAGUAGCAAGAGAGUAGGUUUUCGAUUGUAGUCUUAUCUUCCUGAAGUAGCAAGGAAGCAGAUUGAUGAUUGUAGAUCUUAUCUCCCUAAGGUGGUAGUGGAGCAGAUCAAAGACGAUGAAUUCUCCUGGAGUAUACCCCUGAAGACAGUAGGAUCGAAUGGGGCAGUUUGCAGAAAAGGGAGAGCCAAGAAGUCAGGAUUCAGUAAGACUGGGCAAAAUGGUCCUUUUGAAGUCUUUGCUCUAUCAAGAUUCAGUAAGACUGGGCAAAAUGGUCCUUUUGAAGUCUUUGCUCUAUUCUCGCUACACGACAAUGAGAAAAAAGGGGCAGUUGUAAUAGGCCCAUUUCGCCUUGGUCUAUAAAAAACCAAAAAACCAAAAAUAAAAAAAUAAAUAAUAAAAUCAAACAGAAAUAAAUAAACCAAAUUAUUUAUUGGCCCAAUGUCCAUUUACAAGAUUUCGAGUCUAAAUUAAAUUAAACCCAAACCCAUUAAUCAAAACAUAACCCAAUUACAUAAAAUGGCCCAAAAACUACACCUAAAACCCCUAGCCCGAUUCACAAUGGCCCAAACCGAGACCCAAAAAGACCCAAAGAAGCUCAGCAGCCUGAGAACACCAGAAACUUCUAGAAUACGCUAGAACAGUGCCAGAGGGUCGGGCUCCCACGAGCGGUUUCCCACACAUGGUUUCCACGUCACUAGGGUCUCCUUCUCUGUACACCACACCUGCAAUAGAACACACGAGAAGAAGCAGUAUAACGGAAUACAAGCAAAAAAGAAAAGAAAAUUGAUUUUCUUUCAUUUUUUCCUUUGGCUAUAAAAAGCCAUUACCUGUACCUUGUAAAACUUAAGCAUACUGAAUAAGAAAAAAGGCACUUCAAAAGUAAAUUAGAAAAGGUGAUUUUUGGCUUUUCCCUCGAUUUGGUUCUCAUUUUUUCCUUUCUUCGUGAUUUUUGUUUACUGUAUAAAUAAAAAAAAGAAGAGACUUAUCUGUGUUUUGACGCCUUAGAAUUCUCGCUUGUUUCGUCACAAUCAAAACUAAGUAACGAUUUUAGGGGCUUGUGAGCAAAACUCAUGGACUCAUGGUUCAAUGAAGCCUUGAUUGACCAUUGCAUGAGUCGAGAGGAAAGGCAGGAGGGCGGUUGAAUGAAGGAUUUUCGGUCAGCCGAACAUUGGAGAGAAAAACUCUGUUAUUUUCUUCUUUUUAAAAAUGGCUAAAUGUGUCAUUUAGGGUUUGCUCUUGCUAUUAUAGGGAGCGGUAGGCGACAUCGUUUUAGGCCAACAUCAAUGGCCUCAAAAUGACACCAUUUAAAGAGCCUGACACGAUCCAAUCCUUUGCCCUUAGGAUCCGCGUAUUUUUGCAGAGAGGGGAUAAUUGCGCGCCAAGUUCUCCCCUUUCGCACGGGAAUUCAAUUGCGCCCUAUUUGUUUUACUUCGUUUACAAAUUUAGUUCUGUAAUUUGCGCAUAUUAGCAAUUUGGUCUGCGCCCCAAAACAGCAUUUUGGUAUCUGAAUUAUUUCCAGUUCUAGUCCCUGUGCAUUUACAAGCAUUGCGUGUUGAUCCUCAUUUUAAUUUCAAAAGUUUAUUUUAUUUAUAAAUUAUUCCUUUCAUUUUAAUUUUAUUUUAAUUGAGUUUUUUCCCUUUUUCAUCAUUUUUUUAAAAGAUCCAUCUCAUAUUCAUUUUUUUUUUAAUUCUUGUUUACUUAUUCUUAUAUUUUGAGCUACUUUGAUAACUGUUAGAAUUAAGUGACCCGAAUCCUUAUUUAAAUAAAAUACAGUGGCAAAAUAAAUAAAAGAAGAAUCCAUAUAGAAUUACACUUUUUUUAUUCUAUUUUAGAAUAAGGUUUUUUAAACCUUAUUAAAUUUCAUCUAUUUGAUAUUGAUUAGAAUAAGGUGUUUUAGUCUUACUAGAAUAUGGCUUUACAAGCCUAUAAAUAGACAUAGUCCAUUUCUCUUGUAAUGAUUCGAAUUCGACAUAGUGAAUUUCUUCUCAUCUGCCCGUGGUUUUUUCCCGAAAGGGUUUCCACGUAAAAAUCUUUGUGUUCUUUAGUUUAUUUUUAUUUUUUUCACAAAUUGGUAAGACCUUCCGGGUUAUUCAUCUCGAUCACAGUAAUGACAUCUUUGAAGUAUGAAAUUUCGCUGUUCGAUCGCAACACCAAAUUUACGUUGUGGCAGAUUAAGAUGCAAGUAGUUCUUGCGCAGAUGGAUCUGGAGGAUGCCCUGCUAGGGAUAGAUAAGAUGGCUUCGACAUUAAAAAAUGAAGAGAAGAAGCGUAAGGAUCGAAAGACGUUAACACAAUUACAUCUGCAUUUGUCCAAUGAAAUUCUGCAGGAUGUGAUGAAAGAGAAGACUGUCGUUGCAUUAUGGAAGAGGCUAGAACAAAUAUGUAUGUCGAAAACUCUAACAAGCAAGUUGAUGAGGUUUAUGAUUCUUUAACCUCGUAUGAUAAGAUGAAGCAUCUUGUGGUUAAACUAGAUUCUUAGGGAGAGGGUCUCAUUGUUCGUGGGAGACAAGAUCAGAAUGCUGAUGAUGAUCGUGGUAGGAAACAGGAACGGAAUCCCCGUGGUAAAUCUAAAGGUAGAUCAAAGUCUUCAAAUAGAGGUAAAACUUGUUACUUUUGUAAGAAGAAGUGGUACUUUAAAUUUGAGUGCUAUAAGCUACAGAAUAAGAUUAAAAGCGAGGCUGCAAAUCAAAAGGGAAAACAACCAGAAAAUUUUGGUUAAGUUGAUGUUGUAGAAGACUACAGCAAUGGUGAACUUCUAGUUGCUUCUGUCAAUGAUUCUAAAGUAAGCGGUGAGUGGAUACUUGAUUCAGGCUGCACUUUCUACAUGAGUCCUAAUCGGGAUUGGUUUACAACUUACAAAACAGUGUCUGAAGGUGUUUUUUUUAUAGGAAAUAAUGCUUCAUGUAAAAUCGUAUGUGUUGGAACAAUUAAAGUUAAGAUGUUUGAUGGAGUUGCCAGAACACUUAGUGAUGUACGACAUGUUCCAGAAUUGAAAAGAAAUUUAAUUUCUUUGAGUACUCUUGAUUCAAAAAGGUACAGAUACACAGCAAAAAGUGGGGUUUUAAAGAUUUCCAAAGGUUCCCUUGUUGUGAUGAAAGGGCAGAGAAAGGCUGCCAAGUUAUAUGUUUUGCAGGGUUCUACUGUUACUAGUGAUGCAACUUUCGCUUCUUCUUCCUUAUCAGAUGAUGAUAUUACUAAAAUUUGGCAUAUGCGCGUAGGGCAUAUGAGUGAGAAUGGCAUGGCAGAAUUGAGCAAAAUCGGACUUCUUGAUGGGCAAAGAAUUUGCAAACUAAAUUUUUGUGAGCACUAUGUUUUUGGGAAGCAAAAGAGAGUUUGAUUCACCAAAGGAAUCCAUAACACGAAGGGAAGGUUGGAGUAUAUUCAUUCUGAUCUGUAGGGGCCAUCUAGAGUGCCUUUGACAGGUGGAGCUAAUUAUAAGCUAACCUUUAUUGAUGAUUUUUUCAGAAAAGUUUGGGCGUUCUUCCUGAAGUAAAAAAGCGAUGUGUUUUCUGCAUUUAAGCCUUGAAAAAUUAUGAUUGAAAAACAGAUGAGAAAACAAAUAAAAUACCUCCGCACAGACAAUGGCUUAUAGUUCUGUUCUAAUGAGUUUAAUAGAUUGUGCAAGUCAGAAUGGAUCGUGAGACACUUGACAGUUCACCAUACUCUAUAGUAAAAUGGCGUUGUAGAACGAAUGAACAGAACGAUCAUGGAGAAGGUUCAAUGUAUGUAGUCAAAUGCCAACUUACCAAAGUCGUUUUAGGCAGAAACAGCCUUUACUGCAUGUUUUUUGAUCAACCAAUCUCCAUCCGUUGCCAUUGAGAAAAAAACUCCACAAGAGGUAUGGUCUGGUAAUCCUGCUAAUUAUUCUAAUUUAAACAUUUUUGGGUGUCUUGCGUAUGCUCAUGUUGGUAAUGGAAAAUUGGAACCGAGAUCCAUUAAAUGCGUUUUUCUUGGUUACAAAGCUGGUGUAAAAGGGUAUAAGUUAUGGUGUCCUGAAAAUAGAAAAGUUGUGAUUAGCAGGGAUGUUUUUUAUGAAACUGCUAUGCUACCUAACUUAUCUCUUAAAGACUCUUCCAAUAAAGAAAAUCAAAAGUAGGUGGAGCAUCAGAUUAAUACAGAGUCAACUCCUCAAGCUAGUACAAAAAUUGAUAAUAGAGUUGCUUCUUCACCACAAUAUUCUAUCGCCAAAAACAGAACUAGAAAAGAAAUUAAAGCUCCAAAGAAGUAUGUCGAAGCUGAUUUAGUUGCUUCUACUUUAAAUGUGGCUGAAGAUAUAGAUGCAAACCAAGAGCCAUCUAAUUAUUCUGAGGAGGCUAGCUGUAAAGACUUAGAAAAAUGGAUGUUUGCUAUGCAAGAGGAGAUGGAAUCACUUCACAAAAACAAAACAUGGGAUCUUGUGAAACUUCCUAAAGGUAAGAAGACUGUUCACUGUAAAUGUGUGUUUAAAAAGAAAGAAGGGACUCCAUGAGUUGAAGAACCCAGAUAUAAAACAAGGCUUAUUGCAAAGGGUUACAGUCCAAUUCCAGGAGUGGACUUCACAGAUGUGUUCUCCCCAAUUGUGAAGCAUAGUUUGAUUCGAGCUUUGCUUGGUAUUGUGGCCAUGCAUAAUUUGGAGCAUGUGCAGUUAGAAUUAAAAACUGCAUUUUUGCAUGGAGAACUUGAAGAGGAUAUUUACAUGUAACAACCAGGGGGUUUUACAGUCUCAGAAAAAGAGGACUAUGUUUGCUUGCUAAAAAAGUCCCUUUACGGUUUGAAACAGUCACCAAAACAGUGGUACAAGAGGUUUGAUUCCUUUAUGACUUUUCAUAAUUUUGAAAGAAGUAGUUUUGACAGUUGUGUUUACUUUAAGAAAAACAGUGAUUGUCCUUUUGUGUAUCUUCUUCUUUAUGUUGAUGACAUGUUGAUAGCAGCAAAAGAUAAAUGAGAGAUAAGAAAGGUCAAAGCCCAACUAAGUGAAGAAUUUGAGAUGAAACAUUUGGGACAAGCAAAGAAGAUACUUGGUAUGGAGAUUCUCAGAUAUGGAAAAGCAAGUAAAUUGUACCUAAGUCAGAAGGGGUACAUUGAGAAAGUUCUUUGCAGGUUCAAUAUGCAGAGUGCUAAGCCUAUUAGUACUCCUUUAGCAGCCCAUUUCAGACUUUCAUCGGCUUCGUCUCCACAAUCAGAUGAUGAGAUUGAGUACAUGUCACAUGUUCCAUACUCUAGUGCAGUGGGAUCUCUCAUGUAUGCUAUGGUUUGUUUACGUCCAGAUUUAUCAUAUGUAGUUAGUGCAGUUAGCAAAUAUAUGGUGAAUCCCGGUAAAGAACAUUGGAAAGCAGUUCAGUGGAUUUUAAGAUAUUUACGAGGUACUACUAAUGUUUGCUUACAGUUUGCAAGAACUAGAGAUGGAGUAAUUGGGUAUGUUGAUGCUGAUUUUGCUGGAGACCUUGAUAGAAGAAGAUCUCUCACAGGUUAUGUCUUUACAAUCAGAGGUUGUGCAAUUAGUUGGAAAACCACUUUGCAAACUACAGUCGCUUUGUCUACCACUGAAGCUGAGUACAUGGCGAUUACUGAGGCUUGUAAAGAAGCUAUUUGGUUGAAGGGACUCUUUAGUGAACUCAAUGAAGACCUUCAAAUCAGCACAGUAUUUUGUGACAGUCAAAGUGUCAUCUUUCUUACAAAAGAUCAAAUGUUUCAUGAGAGAACAAAACACAUUGAUGUUCGGUAUCAUUUUGUUCGUGAUAUUAUUACUCGUGGUGAUAUUGUUGUGAGCAAAAUUAGUACUCAUGAAAAUUCUGCAGAUAUGAUGAGUAAGUCACUUCCUAUAACCAAGUUUAAGCAUUGCUUAGACUUGGUUGGUGUUCAUUGUUGAAGUUAAACCCUUAAGGGGUUUUAUGGAAGAGGUGGAGAACUUGUUCGUUGAGAGUUCGCGAUGAAGAACUUGUUCAUUGAGAAUUCGUGUCAAGGUGGAGAUUGUUAGAAUUAAGUGACUCGAAUCCUUAUUUAAAUAAAAUACAGUGGUAAAAUAAAUAAAAGAAGAAUCCAUAUAGAAUUACACUUCUUUUAUUUUAUUUUAGAAUAAGGUUUUUAAACCUUAUUAAAUACCAUCUAUUUGAUAUUGAUUAGAAUAAAGUGUUUUAGUCUUACUAGAAUAUGGCUUUACAAGCCUAUAGAUAGACAUAGUCUAUUCCUCUUGUAAUGAUUCGAAUUCGACAUAGUGAAUUUUCUUCUCCUCUGCCCGUGGUUUUUUCCCGAAAGGGUUUCCACGUAAAAAUCUGUUUUCUUUAUUUUAUUUUUAUUUUUUUCACAAUAACUGUAUUGUGUUUUUUUUUAAAAGUCAUUAUUGUAAAAUUUUUAUAUCAUAUCAUUUUAACAUUUUGUAUAAUAUUUUAUAUAAAUGUUCUUAUACAUUAUUAUAUAUAUAAUUCAUGAUAAAAUUAAUUUUAUUCUAUGUAUAUUAUUAAUCUCAUGCUAUUUUAUACAUAUAAUUUCUUUUAAAUCUAUUCACAUAUUUUAUUAUAUAUUUUUGUUAUUUAAAGGAAAGUCCUACAUAUUUUAUGUAGUAUUUAAAUUAUUAUAUAUAUAUACAUACAUAUAUAUAUUGGUCCAUGUUAUUUUAUACAUAUAAUUUCUUUUAAAUCUUUUUGUAUAUAUAAUUAUGUUUUUAAAAUCUAUUACAUAUACAAUUUAUGAUAAAAUUAACUUAAUCUUAUACGCAUUAUUAAUUCCAUGCUAUUUUUACAAAUAAUUACUUCUAAAUAUAUUUAUGUGUAUAUAUAUAUGUUUUGUAAAUCUGUUAUGUGUAUAAUUUAUUUCCUAAGAUUAUUUCUUAUUAUGUAUUUUUACUAUCAUUUCAUAUUUUAUAUAUUAUUUAAAUUCUCCUUAAUUGUGUGUAUACUGUCAAUUUUAAACAAAUAUUUUUUAACACUUUGUACAUUAUUUGAUUCAAAUGUCUUCAUUCUAUAAUAUUCAUUUUAAUGAUUAUAUAUAUCCCUAGUUUUUUUAUACAAGUUAUUUCAAAUUCAUCAAUUCAUCAAUUCAUAUAUUAUAUAUAUUAUGUGUUCAUCCAUUCAUCAUUGUUUUAAAAUCGUCUUAUAUCACAUUGGCUUCUAAUUUCAUUUUGUUUUGUACAUUUUUGUAUUGAUUGUUUUAUAUUAUGCUCUAUGUAUUAUUGUUACAUAUUAUUUAUUCAUUUUUUUUAUUGUUAUAUCAAUUGUGCUCCAUCCAUGCUUAAAAAUUUGGUUACAUUUUUCUUAGAUUAGUUAUAUUUAAUUGUUAUCUUUGUUAGUUGGUUCGACAAAGUUGUGUCAUCUUUAUUCACCAAGUAUUGUAUUUUAUGUGUGCAUAUUAUCCCAUGUUUAUUAUUUUUCUUUUGGUUUACAAAUGUCGCUUUAUAAUUUCCAACUCUUUAAAAUCAAUUAUUCCAUUUUGUUUCAAGUCAAAUAAAUGUGUUUUGAGCUAGUUCACAAUUUUUUAUUUAAAAAUUCUAAAAUAAGGCAAUAUUCAAUGUUUGAAAAUUCAGAAAAUUGUGCUCUAUCGUGCUGGAUUUCGAUUUUUCGUUGGACUAAAUAAUUUGACAUCCUUUUGUGUGUUCAACGUAUGAGCUUUUGGAAGUCAAAAAUUAAUCGUGUUUUCAAAGGUAUAAAGAAUCGUGUCCUAUCGUGCUGGAUGUGAUGCUGUAUACCUUUGAAAUGAGAGAAUUUUGACUACCAACUUAAACCACUCAAAUGUUUUAAAAGGAACCAUAUUUCAAAAAAAAUUCUAAAAUCUUAGACAUAAGGACAGCACUUAAUUAAUUUGGUACCAAUUUUUGGGCAUAGUGAGGGUGCUAACCCUUCCUCAUACGUAACCGGUUCACGAACCCAUUUUUUAAAUUUACGUAAACCAAAAUUGAUUUAAGUAGAAUAAAAUGUUUUAUUAGGUGAUCCAAUCACACCUAAACAAAAAGGUUGGUGGCGACUCCACACUUUGUUUUAAAAAGUCGAUCUCUGUUUUUUUUUUCUAAAAUAAAAAAUGGUUUCGACAACUUGCCUUGUUGAUUGAUCUCUAAUCGAGAGCCAAGUUAAUGUUGGCUUUGUUGAAUUUUGAGUCUAGUUUUCCUUUCAUUAGCAUGCAAUCAUUAGUUGAUGAAGAGAUAAAAACUAGGCUCAUAAUGUAAGGCCCAAAUUCUGCCCGAGCCCAAUAAACCAAAUAAAUAAAUAGAGUCCAAAAUACAAAACUAAAACCUAACCCAACAAGCCCAAAUCAACCCUAGCCCACUAAAAAUUUUCCAGCAAAAAAGAAGGCAGGAAACCCUAGCCGCUCCCCCCCUUGACCAGCAGCCUCCACCUUCUGCUCACCCACGUGCCUCGAGCGCACUGCCCGCGCCUGGCCCCGAGGCCUGACCACCUCUGCUCGGCCUUGUACCAACCCCAUUGACCUCCUAGCAACCUGCAAAAAAGAACAAAAGCAAAGCAGAAACAAAGAUAGAAGCAACGCAACACGCAAACAAAUCGUACAACAGAGAACAGUAGCAAACAGUGAUGGAAAACGAUGUAUUUCGGCUAUAAAGCCGAAAGAAAAAAAAUCAAUGUAAAAGGGGGCGACCAAUGGUAUUUUUCGGGGGUUUUUCUUUUCAAAUACAAAUUGUAUUUUACAUUUUUCAGAGAAUCAAAAACAGUUGAGGUAUUCUCAUUAAAAAAAUACAAAAAACUUGAAAGAAAAUGUGAUUUUUCUACUGCUUUUAGAUUUCGGUUUCAUUUUUCAUUUUUUAUUUUUUUAUCUUUUACAUGCGAAAAUAAUGAAAAGGAAAAAGGGGAGAAGAAACUCACCUGGUGUUCUAGUUUUCUUCACCGUGAGAGGUUGAGGAAGCCACCGCCGAGGAUCGGAGGCCGAAAACUGAAAGGUUUCUUGGGUUUUGAGGGGUUUCCGUUAGUUUUUUGGGGAUUUCAGUGUCGAAAAUAGGCUCAGGAGGUGGAAAAUAUCAAAGGGGGCCUUUUUCGUUCCUCCGGCCACCGUGGACAGAACUAGAAGAGAAAUUAAAGCUCCAAAGAAGUAUGUCGAAGCUGAUUUAGUUGCUUCUACUUUAAAUGUGGCUGAAGAUAUAGAUGCAAACCAAGAGCCAUCUAAUUAUUUUGAGGCGGCUAGCUGUAAAGACUUAGAAAAGUGGAUGUUUGCUAUGCAAUAGGAGAUGGAAUCACUCCACAAAAACAGAACAUGAGAUCUUGUGAAACUUCCUAAAGGAAAAAGGGGUUUUCGUUGUAAAUGGGUGUUUAAAAAAGAAAAAAGGGAUUCUAGGAGUUGAAGAACCCAGAUAUAAAGCAAGGCUUGUUGCAAAGGGUUACAGUGAAAUACCAGGAGUGGACUUCACAGAUGUCUUCUCCCCAGUUGUGAAGCAUAGUUCAAUUCGAGUUUUGCUUGGUAUUGUGGUCAUGCAUGAUUUGGAGCUUGAGCAGUUAGAUGUAAAAACUGCAUUUUUGUAUGGGGAACUUGAAAAGGACAUUUACAUGCAACAACCAGAGGGCUUUACAGUCUCAGAAAAAGAGGACUAUGUUUGCUUGCUGAAAAAGUCCCUUUAUGGUUUGAAACAGUCACCAAGACAGUGGUACAAGAGGUUUGAUUCCUUUAUGACUUCUCAUGAUUUCAAAAGAAGUAGUUUUGACAGUUGUAGUUACUUUAAGAAAAAUAGUGAUGGUUCUUUCAUAUAUCUACUUCUUUAUGUUGAUGUCAUUUGAUAGCAACAAAAGAUAAAGGAGAGAUAAGAAAGGUCAAAGCCCAACUAAGUGAAGAAUUUGAGAUGAAAGAUUUGGGACCAGCAAAGAAGAUACUUGGUAUGGAGAUUCUCAGAGAUAGAAAAGCAAGUAAAUUGUACCUAAGUCAGAAGGGGUACAUUGAGAAAGUUCUUUGUAGGUCCAAUAUGCAGAGUGCUAAGCCUGUUAGUUAGCAUCCCAUUUGAGACUUUCAUCGGCUUUGUCUCCACAAUCAUAUAAUGAGAUUGAGUGUAUGUCACAUGUUUCAUACUCUAGUGCAGUGGGAUUUCUCAUGUAUACUAUGGUUUGUUCACUUCCAGAUUUAUUAUAUGCAGUCAGUGCAGUUAGCAGAUACAUGGCGAAUCCCUGUAAAGAACACUGGAAAGCAGUUCAGUGGAUUUUAAUAUGCUUACGAUGUACUACUAAUGUCUGCUUACAGUUUGGAAGAACUAGAGAUGGAGUCAUUGGGUAUGUUGAUGCUAAUUUUGCUGGAGACCUUGAUAGAAGAAGAUCUCUCACAGUUUAUGUCUUUACAAUCGGAGGUUGUGCAAUCAGUUGGAAAGCAACUUUGUAAACUACAGUUGAAGCUGAGUACAUGGCGAUUACUGAGGCUUGUAAAGAAGCUAUUUGGUUGAAAGGACUCUUUAGUGAACUCAAUGAAGACCUUCAAAUCGGUACAGUAUUUUGUGACAGUCAGAGUGCAAUCUUCCUUACAAAAGAUCAAAUGUUUCAUGAGAGAACAAAACACAUUGAUGUUCAGUAUCAUUUUGUUCGUGAUAUUAUUACUCGUAGUGAUAUUGUUGUGAGCAAAAUUAGUACUCAUGAAAAUCCUGCAGAUAUGAUGACUAAGUCACUUCCUAUAACCAAGUUUGAGCAUUGCUUAGACUUGGUUGGUGUUCAUUAUUGAAUUUAAACCCUUAAGGGGUUUUAUAGAAAAGGUGAAAAACUUGUUCGUUGAGAAUUUGUGUCAAUGUGGAGAUUGUUAGAGUUGUGUGGUCCAAAUUUUAAGAGAUUACUUGCAAGUCAAGAUAAACAAAGUAUAUCUUCUUUCUAGAAGAUUUAGUAUUUAUGAGUAUAAUAUAUUUAGCAUUUAUUAGCAUAAUAUAUUUUACUUUGAUUAGAAUUAGGUUUUUUCAACCUAUAAAUAGAUGUAGUUGAAACUCCUCUUGUAAUCAUUCGAAUUCAACAUAAUGAAUUUUCUUCUUCUCUACCCUUGGUUUUUUUUUCUUAUAAGGGUUUCUACGUAAAAUCUAUGUGUGUUCUUUAUUUUAUUUUAUUUUCACAGUGUGAUUAUAGUCAAAAUUUAUUUUUUAUAACUUCUAACAAAUAAUGUCACACCUCAAAAUUGGGAGUAGAGUUUUGAGGGUAAUUUAGAGAUUUUGACUUGGAAUGAGCUCGAAAAUUUCAAAGUUUGGUAAACUGAAUAUAGAUUUAACUAUGGAUUAAAUAUUUUUAAUAGUACAAAGUAUAAACAAUAUAUAAUAGAAUUAAAAAAAUGAUGUUUUGAAGUUUAAGUUUUUUAUGUUCUUAGUGAAACUAUAUUUAUUAAAUAAAAUAAAAUUAUGAGAAACCAUUGUUUUAGAUAAAAUUUUCCGAAGGAAUUUAAAUUAAUCAAAAUUAAAUUUUCUCUUCUAAUUUUUCACUCAAAUACACCUUGAAUGAUCCAAAGUACAAAUAAAUUCUCGUCCCUCUAUUUCCUUUAUUAAUAGACAUUAUUGAUAUUAUGUUUUAAAUAAACAUUAUUGAUAUUAUGUUCAAAUAUAAUUCAAUUCAAAUUCGAUUUGUCCCAAAAACACCUUCGUUUCUACUCCUUCAAGUACGAUUCAACCAAGUCUUUAUGUUCAUUUGUAAUAUAUAAACUAAUAAUUCCCAAAGAUUAUUGAGAUAUUCAUGCUUUUUAUUAGAGUUGGGUGACUCAAAUCUCAGCCUAAAAAAUUCGAGAUGCAACUCACUUGUUAAAGAAAUACAAUAGAGAGGCAAAAUUCCCCGCGAUACGAACCUUGCCGCACAAGUUGAAUCCAUGUAGGACUAUACUUCUUCUAUUAUACGUUGAUUAUAAAAGGUUUGUUUAACCUUUAAAAUGUGCAGAAAACCUUUUGUAUUAUUUUUUUCAACAUUAGUGAAUAUCUCCUCCUCUGCCCGUGAUUUUUCUCAAUAAGGGUUUUCCACGUAAAAUAUGUAUGUUCUUAUUUUUCUUUCUUAUUGUUUUGCUAUUAUUCCUACUACCAUUAUCAAUGAAUAUUAUAAAAAAAUGGUAUCACAGCAUUCAAGUUGCUUGUCCCAAUCACGGUAAUGGCGACAUUGAAGUAUGAUAUAACGUUGUUGGAUCGCAACACUAGAUUCGUAUUGUGGAAGGUAAAGAUGCAGGAAAUUUUUGCACAAAUGGAUUUGGGUUAUGCCCUGCUAAGGUUAGAUAAGAUGCCUUUGAAAUUGACACUUGAAGAAAAGCAGUAUAAGGAUCAAAAGGUCCUAUCGCAAUUACAUCUCUAUCUGUUGAAUGAAAUUCUACAGGAGAUGUUGAAGGAGAAGAUUGCUGUUGCAUUAUGGUUGAGGUUGGAGCAAUUAUGCAUGUCGAUAACCAUAACUAGCAAGCUUCAUCUGAAGCAGUGUCUUUAUUCUCAUCAUUUGGAAGAAGGUACGUCUUUGGUAGAACACUUAACUAUCUUUAAAGAAAUUGUCUUGAAUUUAGAGGCCAUGGAGGUUCAGUAUGAUAAAGAGGAUUUAGGGUUGAGUCUGCUUUAUUCAUUUCCCCCUUCCUAUUUGACCUUUAAAGAUGCAAUUUUGUAUAGUCGCAAAUCUCUCACAAUUGAUGAAGUUUAUGAUUGUUUAACCUCGCAUGACAAGAUGAAGCUUGUGGCUGGAUCCAGCUCUCAAGGAAAGGGUCUCAUUGUUCAUAAGAGAAAAGAACAAAAUACUGGUGAUAAUCAUGGGAGGACAUAAGAACGAAAUUCUGGCAGUAAAGCCAAGGGUAAACUAUAUGCAUAAAAAAUGUAAUAAAUACAUGUAAUUUGUAACAGUUUGAUUUUCAAUGGUGUCGAAAAAGACAGUUUUCAAACCUCAUUGUGGUGAAUCGGGCCCGUAAAUAUUAAAUAUGAAGAUUUACGGGGUUGGUAUAAAAUUUUAUUAAAGUUUAGUCCUUCAAUUUUGUUUAUUAAUUGCUUAAUUAAGGUAUAGGGACUAAAUUAUAAAAGUUUUCUCGCUAUAAAUUUUUAAUUGGGCAAAGGUCUAAGGGCUCAAAUUGUAAUUAAUCAAACGUAAAAAAUGGAAAUUUAACCAUCUUGAAUUAAGUGUUAGUGGUUGGAGAUGUCUUUAGUCAAUUAAGUAUGUUUAAUUUAAUUAAACUUAAUUAAAGUUAACAAAAUAUUUAAUCAAAGUAUGAAAAGAAAUUUAAGUAGGAAGAAAGAGAAGAAACCUUCAUCUUCUCCAUCCACCACCGAAACACCAUAGCCAAAGAAUUGAGAAAAACAAAUAAGGUUCUCAAGCUUUCGAUUGUUAUUAGGUAUGUUCAGUUAAGUCAUUUUCUUGUAAUUUUUAUGUUUUUGAGGUUAUGGGAGCUUGGUUUAGCUAGCCCAUGUACCAAUAUGAGUUUUUGAAAGUUUUCAUUGAUGGUUUCUUGAAUAAAUUUAUGUUAAAUUGAUAAAUUUUAAGCUUAGAUAUGAAAAAGAUAUAGAUUGUAAAGUUUAAAUUGCUAGUUUUGCACAAAAGGACUAAAGUGAAUAAAUUGUAAAAUUUAUGUGAAAUUUUAAUAAUAAUAGAUAGUAUAGGGUCCCUAAGGGAUGAAAUUGAAAUCGAUUUUAAAACUGAGACUCAAAAUUGAAAGUUAUGGUUAUUUCAGUUUUAGGGACUAAAUUGAAUAAAAUAUAAUUUAAAAAUUAUAUAGAUUCAUACAUAUCAUGGCAUAACAUAAAACUGUUGGGUAUUAAUAAAUUGUCUAGAAUUAUUGUUUAGGUCAAGAAUUAAAUCAAACCGAGGAUAAUUGGGAAAAAACUAAAAUUGUCAAAUAGUCCUUGAAAAUUCAAAAUUAUUUAUAUUAUACCAAUAUAAUAUUAUAGACAAAAGUGUAAAUCAAUACUGUUAUAUAAUAAUACUAUGUGCGCCUUCCGAUUUAAGUUCAGGAAGGUUAUGGGAAGAAGUAAAUAUUGUAUAAAAAAAAUAAUUAUUCCAUUGCUUUGUUUUAGUAUAACAAAGGUAUUUUUUUGUCUAUUUUACGGUCUAUAAAGAUUAAUCCUUUCAGUGUUCAUUGAUGCUCUCUCCUAACAAUAUUGUCCUAAAGAUUUGAGCUUAAGUUCUUUCUCUAAAGAGAAAUCUAUCAAGCUUUCACUCAAAAAAAAAAAAAGAAAAGAAAAGGAAAAUUUGCAAUUUUGUUAACCAAACUUAAAAUAGAAUACGUUUCUUACAAGUUUUCCAUUAAUUACUAUCCGUCAAUGGAAUAAGAGAUUAGAUAAUGUAAAUUAAAGAAUUUUUUAUACAAUUCCUCAUACUAUGAAUAAUUCACCUAUUUCUAAUUGUUACAAUCAAUAUCGUGAUUGGUUUAACAAAUGCUUACCCUUAAUUCAAAGCCAAUUUAAUAUUAACUUUACUAAAUCAAAUGCUUACCCUUAAUUCAAAGCCAAUUUAAUAUUAACUUUACUAAAUCAUGAGUUCAAAUCAAUGAUGAAGACAAAAAAAAAAAAAAAAAUCUAAACUCAUGAUUCAAGAAAGCCACAUUAUAGGGCUAUUAGCAAUAGACAGCAAUCUGUAGUAGCCAAUGAUCAAUCAACAAAUGUUAGUCCUUAAUUGAGAAUCAAGUUAAUGUCGACUUUGCUGAAUUAUGAAUCUAGUUUUCUUUUCAUUUGCAUGCAAUCAUUAGUUGAUGAAAAGAUAAAAACUAAGUUCAUAAUCCAACAAAGUCGAUAUUAUAGGGCUAUUAGUAACAGAUAGCACAUGUUGAUUGAUCUCUAAUUAAGAGACAAGUCAAUGUCGAUUUUGCUGAAUUAUGAGUUUAAUUAUUUUUUCCUUUGCAAACAACGAUGAAAAGAUAAAAAUUAGACUCAUAAUCCAGCAAAGUCGAGAUUAUAGCCAAUAUCAUUGGCAAUAGCAACCACCUCGGUAUUUCUAUAUAUUUCCAAGGGGAUGAUAAUGAGAGAGGCAAGGGGUAAACGUAUUUAUAGUUGAAGCCUAAUGAAUGUCUUGUAGAAAAGAAAAGAAUCGAUAAUAAACAAUUACAUAUUGAUUAUUUUAUGCAAAUAGUUUAUAAUUUUUUCACAAAGGAAAAUUACUUGGUAGUUGACGUUUCUUUUCCUUUUAUUUAUGAAGAAUAAGGUAGGUUGACAUUCAAUGAAAAUGAUUUGUAUCUAGAAAAUUUCAAUUUAAAUAGUUUAAAAUUGAGUUUGGGCACUUGAAAUCUCAAAUUUAUCCUUAUAGUGUUUUAAAAUAAAAGGUAAAUUGGACAGUUGGUCACCCAACUUGUAAUGUUUUACAAGGAAUUACUUUGGUUUUUAUAAGAAAAAUUUGUGUCUUUACGAAGAAAAAUCAUUUUAUUUAUUUUUAUUUUUCAUUUUUAUUAAAUUAAGGCUUAAGUAUUAAAAAUCCUAGAAAAUAAUUCAAAAAUCAAUUGAGUCUCUUGUUGAAAUGAGCAAUCAAUUGAUCCCCUAUAUUAUGGAUUUCCAACGAAACCCCUGACAGACCGUUAAGUCGACAUUAAUUUGGCUCUCAAUUAUAGAUAAGCAUUUAUUAGAUAAAAAAUUAGAUCGAUCAAAACUAAUCAUGAUCGAUCUAUUAAUUAAUACACAUUUAUUUAGUUUUAACACGUAUAAGAUGCUUUCCAAUGCUUGUAGCUUUAUAAUGUCAACUUUGCUGGAUUAUGAGUUUAAUUUUUAUUUCUUCAUCAUCGCAUGCAAAUGAAAGGAAAAUUAGACUCAUAAUUCAACAAAUUCAACAUUAAUGUUAUACUAUAUGUCGAUAAUGGUAGUAGGAAGGACUGUAAAGCAAUAAGAAAGAAAAAUAAGAACACACAAAUUUUACGUGAAAAACCUUUUUUGGGAAAAACCACAGGCAAAGAAGAAGAAAUUCAUUAAUGUUGAAAAAUAACAAUACAAAAGGUUUUCGAGUACACACAUUUUAAGGGUCAAACGAUCCUGUUAUAAUCAAUGUCUAAUAGAAUAAGUAUAGUCAUAUACGGAUUCAACUUGUGCGGCAUUACACCCCCACAAAUCCCCUAUUUUGCCUCUCUAUUUUAUUUCUUUAACAAGUGAGUUGCACCUCAAAUUAUUCAAGUCGGAUCAAACGGGAUUCAAGUCACAAAACUCUAACAAUUAAUUCAACUCUCAAUUAAGGAUCAAGAUUUAUUAGAUAAACAAAUUAGAUUGAUUGAAAUUGACUAUGACCAAUCUAUAAAUUAGUACCCAUUUAUCUAGUUUUAACACAUAUAAGAUGCUUUCCAAUGCUCAUAGCUUAAUAAUGUCAACUUUGCUAGAUUAUGAGCCUAAUUUUUAUUUCUUCAUCAUCGCAUGCAAAUGAAAGGAAAGUUAGACUCAUAAUUCAGCAAAGUCGACACUAUUUUGGCUCUCAAUUAAGGAUCAACAUUUAUUAGAUGAACAAACUAGAUCGAUUGAAAUCGACCAUGAUCAGUCUAUUAAUUAGUACCCAUUUAUCUAGUUUUAACACAUAUAAGAUGCUUUCCAAUGCUCGUAGCUUUAUAAUGUCAACUUUGCUGGAUUAUGACCCUAAUUUUCAUUUCUUCUUCAUCACACGAAAAUAAAAGGAAAGUUAGACUCAUAAUUCAACAAAGUCGACAUUAAUUUGACUCUCAAUUAAGGAUCAACAUUAAUUAGAGAAACAAACUAGAUCGAUUGAAACCAACCAUGAUCAAUCUAUUAGUUAGUACCCAUUUAUCUAGUUUUAACACAUAUAAGAUGCUUUCCAAUACUCGUAGCUUUAUAAUGUCAACUUUGCUAGAUUAUGAGCCUAAUUUUCAUUUCAUCAUCAUCGCAUGCAAAUGAAAGAAAAUUAGACUCAUAAUUCAGCAAAGUCGACAUUAAUUUGACUCUCAAUUAAGGAUCAACAUUUAUUAAAUAAACAAACUCGAUCGAUUGAAAUUGACCAUGAUCGAUCUAUUAAUUAGUACCUACUUAUCUAGUUUUAACAAAUAUAAGAUGCUUUCUAAUGCUCGUAGACUUAUAAUGUCAAUUUUGUUGGAUUAUGAAGGUAAUUUUUCAUUUCUUCAUCAAUUACAUGCAAAUGAAAAGAAAACUAAACUCAUAAUUCAACAAAGUCAACAUUAAUUUGGCUCUCAAUUAAGGAUGAACUUUAUUAGAUAAACAAAUUAAAUCAAUUGAGAGUGACCAUGAUCCAUUUAUUAAUUAGUACCCAUUAAUCUAGUUUUAACAAAUAUAAGAUGUUUUCCUAGAUUAUGAGUCUGGUUUAUAUUGUUGAGAGAGAUCUAGAUUCCUAAUCUAGCAAGGUCCACGUUUCCUUGGCUCUCAAUGUCCAUAUUUACGGAUUUACAAAUUCCAAUUCAAUCAUGUCAAUAUUUUUUUCCAUCUCAGCUACAAAUAUUAACUCUAUCCAUCUUCUCCAUUAUCUCUAUCACUACAACUUCUUAGCUUCAAUCUAAUCGAAAAAUCAUGAUCAGGUUUGAAAGAUUGUUGAUUUUUGCCUAUUAUUUAUUAUUUCAGAUAUUUAUUAAGUUGAAACUGGAUUAAGUCACUACUACGUUUAGAUAUUAUAUAAUUUUCAGAUAUUUUUCUUUCCUUUUACAUAUUAUAUAAUUUAUAAUAUAUUAUUUUUGUUUAGAAAUUUGAUAAACAUAUAUAAUAGCAAAAGAAAUAUAUUCUUUUUUUUCUACUCGGUAAUAAAAUUUAGUUAAUAAAAAAAUGGGUGGAGCAAAAUGAAAUUAAAUUAAUAAUUUAGACAGAAUCAAAAAAAUAUAAAAAUCAUAUAUAAAAUCGUACCAUAUUUAGAAUCUGAUAUAUGAAACCUCAAAUUGUGAGUUCAUCAUCUUAGCUUUUAAUCUUGACCAAUAUCUCUGACAAAUUCACAGAUUUUGAACAAAUAAUAUUUUAAACUUAAUGGCGGAGGUAGAAAAUUUUUUUGGGAGAUGGAUUUAAAUUGUAUAUAUUUACGAUAGUAAAAAUGUAAUUUCAUCAUUUUAAUAGUCUAUAUCUUUAUAAUUUUUAAAGGGUUAAAUUAAAAUUUUAUCAUUUUUAGACUAAAGUAUAAUUUUACCAUUACUAAUUUAAAAUUUUAUAAAUUAUAAAAAGCUUGAAUUUAAAUUUUACUAUUUUAAGAGGGCCACGAUUCCCAGUCUCUUAGUGGCUCCACCACUAAUCAUAAGUACUUGUUUAUGAUAUUAAAUUUAUAAGAUUAAAUCUUUAAAUUAAAAAAUCGAUAAUAAGUCUAACAUUUAUCAUUGAAGCUAAAACAUGGAUUUUAUUUUAUUUUAUGAAUAGAAAAAAAAUUGUCGAAUUCAUAAAAUAGAUAAAAACUCGAAACAAAAUUAUGAAAAUGUUUUAAACUAAUUUAUUUAUAAAAAAAUAAUUUUAAACCCUGAAUUUAUUUUAAAGUAUGUACAAUUUAAUUAAAUAUAUUCUUAUUUUAUAUUUAUUAUACUAAAUAUAUUCUAAUAUUUUUUUAAAAUUUAAUAAAGUCUCCUGUGGAAUUUUAAACAGAACUUGUUUGAGGAAUAAUUUUAUCACAUUGCUUAAAGUUUACAACAAAAAGAAGCUGACAUCCUUAACAUUGUUGGCCACCCAACAACCAUAUAAAUAAAUAAAUACACAUUCAUAAAGUAGUACUUCUCCUGUUGAAACUAUUUCGUCACAAUUUUCAUUUUUUAUGGGAUGAAAUAUAUAUUUAAUGAAAUUCGCUUAUAAUUUUCCAUAUAUGAUGGGAAUAGAGAACAAAGGUUGAGCUAAAAAUAUAUAGGAAUGGAUGGAGUCUUUGGGUGGGAUCCGAUUAGAUCGAAUUUUUAGUUUUUAAAUUUGAAUAGAUUUGAGACCUCAUGUAGAGGUUUUGUACAAAAACUUAUCAAAAAGUAGAGAGUGUAAAUUUAUGUUUAGGUUGUAUCGUAAUUCAAAAUAGAAAAUUUCAAAAUUAAAUGGAUUUAAAGGUUUUAAAUUUUUAAAGAAUUUUAUUAUUUAUAACUAAAUUUAAAUAAAACUUAUCUUUUAUUAUAUAAAUAAUAAUCCAGAUUCAACAAGUUUUUACCUUAUUUCAAACUUGAGGAAAGAUAAAAUUUGGAAGCAAUCUUCCGAUACUUGAAAGGCAUCUAACAUUACAUUAAGAAAACAAAGGUUGCUUGAACUAUUUUCCAAGUCAACUAUCAAAUUUCAUUUACUAUUUAAUCCCAACCUCAAGCUUUCAGUUCUCACAACUUUUCGAUAUUCCAUAAUUACAAUAACAUUCGUUACAUCUACAAUCGUCCGUACUUUUUCUUCAAUAUCUUAACAUCAAUGGCCAAAGUUAACAAGAGAUUGGCUGUUCUAGUGGGUUGCAAUUACCCAAACACCCAAUACGAAUUGCACGGAUGUAUAAACGAUGUGGUAGCCAUGAAAGACGUGCUGGUUAAACGAUUCGGGUUCGAUCCAACAAAUAUCGAACUCUUGACCGAUGCAUCGGCGGCGACUGGAGAAGGGUCAUCAUCGGUGGUUUUGCCGACAGGGGAGAACAUUAAGGCAGCAUUGAGUAAGAUGGUGAGACAGGCUGAAGCCGGUGAUGUGUUGUAUUUCCAUUAUAGUGGACAUGGAACAAGAAUUCCAAAACCUGCCCACCUUUUCGGACACGAUGAGGCAAUUGUGCCUUGUGAUUUCAAUCUCAUUACAGGUAAACUUUUUCCCACUAUACUUUUAAUUUUAUUUUAUACGAAUCUCGAAAUAUAAAAUUCUUGACUUCACCUAAUACGCAUGUGUGAUUGUUGUAGACGUGGAUUUUAGACAAUUAGUUAACCAAUUACCAAAAGGAGCAAGUUUCACGAUCUUGUCGGAUUCAUGUCACAGUGGUGGUCUCAUUGAUAAAGAAAAAGAACAAAUUGGACCUUCUACCUAUAGGGCAGCUUCAUCACUUUCUUACAAGGCUAAGAACAUCCCUUUUGAAUCCAUACUUGAGCACCUAACAACACUAACAGGGAUCAACACAUCAGACAUUGGUACUCAUUUGUUAGAAUCCUUUGGUGCCAAUGCCAGCCUCAAAUUCCUCACACCUCAGCUCGAGUCCGAGUUAUUCGACUUCUUGAAGGCUGAUGAGGGGAUUUUGUUAAGUGGGUGUCAAGCAGAUGAGACAUCGGCGGACAUGAACCCGAUGGAGAGCGGUGGGAAAGCGUACGGAGCCUUUAGCAAUGCCGUCCAGAUGGUAUUGAAAGAGAACUCCGGAAGAUUAAGCAAUAAAGAGGUUGUGAUGAUGGCUAGAAAAGUUUUAGAGGCUCAAGGAAUUGAUCAACACCCUUGCCUUUAUUGCAGUGAUGAGAACGCCGAUGCUACUUUCUUAUGCCAGCCUGAGGCCGAGCCUUACUGAUAUCGGUAUCGACAAUUUAAAUAUUGGUUGCAACGUGAUAUUACGAUCGUUAUUUACGAAUUCGAUUCUUCUAGUUACUAAUGUUUAACAAAAUUCACUACAUCCGAAAAUAUGUUGGCAACAGCAAUUUAAAUUCCGAUUUGAAUAUAUGUAUUUGCUUUGUGAUUCAUUUGCAAUAAUAAGAUGUAAUGUCAGCCUCUUGUAUGAGAAAUUCUUAAUCUAUAUUAUCUAUGAAUUUGUGAAACAUUUCUUGUUAAACUAAUUGCUAAGGACCAUUAUUUAUGUGUUCAUUUCUUGAUCUAUGAUAUAAGUAACAGAAUGAAUUUUAUGAACAAUUUUUAGCAGAUCCGUGUCCGCCUAAAUUCCAAGGAACUGCUUAUGAGGAGGAAAAAAGAUUUACCUUGCUUGGAACUGUGUCAGUUUAAAGUUCAAUUCAUGUUUCUGUGUCGACAGAUUAUAUCGUGGUGGUGGUUUAGCUCUUCUCUGGAAUUCUAAGUAUAAUAUUUCAAUGACCGGUUUUUGUGGAAAUCAUAUUAACGUGGUUGUUGAUGUUGAUAACAUGAUUAAGUGGCGCCUUUCUAGGUUGUAUGGGUACCCCGAGGCCGCUCAUAAGCAAUUGCUAGUUGGGAGUUACUUUGUUCUCUCACUCGGGCUUCUAGGUUGUCGUGGGUUUGCAUCGAUGACUUCAACUAUCUUCUUUCUUUGAAUGAUAAACGAGGUGGUGGUCACUACUCAACUGCUUGGUUAGACAGUGAUAGAACCAAGGUUGUUCAUCACUGAUUCGAUUUUUGUUCAACAUUGUUUGUCAGUUUAAACACUGUUCACACAAGAAUUUUAGGACAACCUAUGUGAGAUGUUGGUAUUUUUAGUUGGGCCUUCACAAGUAUUUUCUUUAUAAGCAAAUGAAUUUCAAAACGCUUUUUAUUUCACUCCAAAUAAUGGUGGUCAACUUUAGAUGAUUGAAAGAACUAUGAAAUUGACAUGUCUUAAGGCUUAUUCUUAUCCUUAUUUUUUAAGUUAUUUAUUUGGUAAUUUAUUUACUAUUUCACUUGGUUAAUAAAGAUUUAUUUUAAGUUUUUACCUUGUUAAGACUACCUAGAGAAGAUGUGGAUUUUAGCUUAUAAAUAAGCUAUUGUGCCUUUCAUUUGGGUGUGUUUUUGGAGUGUUUUUGGCUUUGUUAUUUGUGUAUCUUUUACUUUUUUGCACUCGUGUUAGGCUUUAUUGGAGAAUUUAUAUUUGAUGAAUUGUUAUUUGUGUACUAAUUGGGAUUGGUGUUGGGGCUACAACUACUUCUUUAUGUAAUGGUAGGUUAGGCUUAAGCCAAUAGGCGAUAUAAAAAAUUAUUAAAUAAAAAUUAUUCACCAAAUGUGACUUUACAGAAUAGAAUCGGUGAAUCUGAAUUGCGUUAACAAAUCUCUUGUGUUUAUAUCUCUCUUUUUUUAUUUUACUUACCGUUUGUGUUUUCUUCGAACUCAUAUCAUUCUUCAAAAAUAAUUUAAUUUUUGUAAAAAAAAUAUUGUUUAUAACUAUAUUAUAUAAAUAAUAAAUCAGAUUGGAUUCUGUUAUUGAGUUGGAGGGGUUAUCAUAGCCGGAUAAGUUUAAUCAUCAGCAAAGAUUGAAUGUUUGAAGCAAUCAUAUCCGACGCUUGAAAGGCAUCUAACAUUACAUGAAAACAAAGGUUGCUUGAACUAUUUUCCAAGUCAUCUAUCAAAUUUCAUUUACUAAAUAAUCCCAACCUCAAGUUUUCAGUUCUCACAACUUUUCGGUAUUCGAUAAUCACAAUAACAUUCAUUACAUCUACAAUCGUCCAUAGUUUUUCUUCAACAUCUCAGCAUCAAUGGCCAAAGUUAACAAGAGAUUGGCAGUUCUAGUGGGUUGCAAUUACCCAAACACCGAAUACGAAUUGCAUGGAUGUAUAAACGAUGUGGUAGCCAUGAAAGACGUGCUGGUUAAAUGAUUCGGGAUCGAUCCGACAAAUAUCGAGCUCUUGACCGAUGCAUCGGCGGCGACUGGAGAAGGGUCGUCAUCGAUGGUUUUGCCGACAGGGGAGAACAUUGAGGCAGCAUUGAGUAAGAUGGUGAGCCAGGCUGAAGCCGGUGAUGUGUUUUAUUUCCAUUAUAGUGGACAUGGAACAAGAAUUCCAAAGCCUGCCCAUCUUUUUGGACCAGAUGAGGCAAUCGUGCCUUGUGAUUUCAAUCUCAUUACGGGUAAAUUUUUUAUACUAAACUUUUAAUUUUAGUUGAAAUACAAAAUUCUUGACUUCGCAUCUUUUAAUUGUAGACGUGGAUUUUAGACAAUUAAUUAAUCAAAGGAGCAAGCUUCACAAUCUUGUCGGAUUCAUGUCACAGUGGUGGUCUCAUAGAUAAAGAAAAAGAACAAAUCGGACCUUCCACUUAUAGGGCAACUUCACCACUUUCUUACAAGGCUAAGAACAUCCCUUUUGAAUCCAUACUUGAGAACCUAACAACACUAACAGGGAUAAACACUUCAGACGUUGGUACUCAUUUGUUAGAAUCCCUUUGGUGCCAAUUCCAGCCUCAAAUUCCUCACACCUCAGCUCGAGUCCGAGUUAUUCGACUUCUUGAAGGCUGAUGAGAGGAUUUUGUUUAGUGGGUGUCAAGCAGAUGAGACAUCGGCGGACAUGAACCCGAUUGAGAGCGGUGGAAAAGCGUACGGAGCCUUUAGCAAUGCCGUCCAGAUGGUAUUGAAAGAGAACUCCGGCGGAUUAAGCAAUAAAGAGGUGGUGAUGAUGGCUAGAAAGGUAUUUCCUGAGGCCGAGCCUUAUUGAUAUUGGUAUCGACAAAUUAAAUAUCAAUUGCAACGUGAUAUUACGAUCGUUAUUUUACAAAUUCGAUUCUUCUAAUUACUAAUGUUUAACAAAAUUCACUAUAUCCGAAAAUACGUUCGUUGCUGCACUUUAGAUUCUGAUAUGAAUAUAUGUAUUUGCUUUGUGAUUCAUUUCGGGUGAAAUUGUGAAAGAAACUCUUAAUCUAUAUUUUAUAUGAAUUUGUGAAACAUUUCGGGUUGAGAUUUUUUUUAAUUAUUAUUAAUAAAUGUUGGGUAUAAUAAUAAGAUAUGUUGUAUUUUUAAUAAGAAAAUUUAAAUUCGAAUAUUAAAUAUAAUAUUAUUGAAAAAGACAAGAAGUACAAUCAGAUAAUAAGCCUGUUAUAGCAAAAACCUUCACUAACUUUAUUCAAAACAUAAUAAUAAUAACCCUAAACCCUAAUAAAAAUUAAAGCCUAAGGGUCAAAUCGAUUUCUGAAUCAUCAUUGUGAUUAGUUGCUGGCCUAUUGGCUGCAACAUUUGCCUGAGAAUUACGAGCAAAGCUCGCAAGUGAACCACUUCCGGUAACCACUCUUGAAGAGGUUGAAGGCCCUGAGAUUGCAAUUCCACCAUUGUUGUUGAUGCUUAACCUGCCAUUAAAACUUGGAGGAAGACGGUUCCUCAUAGCUAGCCUAGGGUAUCCAUGACCGGAAAGAUAUCCACCGGAUCCAAACAGUGUCCAUGAAUGUGAAGGCUUAUGGAUCAUGGAUCCUAGCCUAACCCCAAGGAUUGAUCUAUUCAAAGAUCCAUGAUAAGGGGUUGAAGAUAAGGUUGGAUAGGGGUAAUGGGGAUAGGUUGGAGGGGUAAAAGUUUGUGUUUGGAUCUCUCGAAGCCUUUUGGCUAAUGCACGCUCUUGCCUGUGGGCAUUUUGGUGUCCCCCUAAGGCUUGAGGACUAGUGAACUUUGACCUGCAAUAGUUGCAAGAGAAAGUCUUUUCGGGUUCAGGUUGGUUUUCGGAAGAAGUAAUAAUCGGGUUCGUAGGGGUGGAAAGAUUGAUUACAAUCUCUGAUUCGCGCAAUGAACGAUUAUCGUUGGAGAGGUUGCUUGAUUCAACUCUAGAUGCAUUGGCAGCUUCACUAGCCAUGAUUUUUGGUGUGAAGGUCAUAAAUGAGAGAUGUUAAAUUUAUAGUGAAGUUGAGUUAGUAAUAUCGGUUCAAUUAUGGAAAGAAAAUCUCAUUUUGUAGUGUCAAUGUGUAUGAAUUUUCCAUCUUUGAGAUUUUGUGACUUGGAAUUUCUUGCCUAUUAGGCACUAAUUUACAUACUUAGUAGGUAGAUAAAAAUCUCAAGUGGCAGAUGCUGCAAAUUCAUGCAUCACGUUUAACAAAUUAAUGUUUACACAUAUUCAUUACCAUAAAAAUAAAGAAAAAAAAUCCAGAAUAUGAAACUGUUAUGAUAAAUACAAUUUUAUACACUUAUAGAUAACUUUGAGCUUCGCAUAGUCAACAUUACUUACGCUAAUUAGACGUGUUCAUAAAUCGAGUUAUUAAUUUAUCUUUUGUCUAGUUUGAGUUAAAAUCGAUUACGAUCGUAUUUUAUAAUUUAUUUUAAGAUAAAUUUUAAUUAUACGUCAUUUUAAUUUAUUAUGAAAUAUGAAAUAUUAAUUUGAUUUUGUUCAAUUGUAUAUAAAUUUUGAUUUAAAUUCAAUUUUUAUAGAUGAUUAACACAUUAUCAAUUUUUACUUAAUACGUAUUCAAUUUAAUUGUUAUUCAAAAUAAAUAUAAUUAAAUUAAAAUCAAAUUUUAAUUAUAAUUGAAUUAACUAUGUCACAUUAUUUUAUUUAAAUUAAUAUGUCACAUUGUUUAUUAAAUAAAAAUAAAAAUAUAUAAUUUUAGGAUUUAACUGGAAUUACAAAAGUUUAUUUGGAUUCUGAUUUCAAACUAAUUUUUUGUUUUAUAGUCAUUCAAGUUUUAGCAUGUUGUUUUUUUAAUCAUCAAAUAUUUUUUGAAUUUAGUUGCUCUUGUUAAAUCAAUUGCAAUUCUUAAUUACUUCACCAAUAAAAUGCCUUUUUGGUCACUAGGUGAAAUGUUGAUGUAGGUAGAUAUAAUAAUGAAUUUAGUCCUUAAUAUUUUAUACAUUUUAUCAAUUUGGUCUUAAUUCUAAAAAUUUAGUCUGCAAUAUUUACACAUUAUGUCAAUUCGAUCCUGAUUUUAGAAAUUCAUAACAUUAUUAAUUAAAAAAAUACAUAAAAUUUUCAAAAAUUAUAAUUUUUAAUAUUUUUGAAACUUAUUUUUUUUUGUAAUUAUAAUUUUAUAAAUUUCUAAAAUAAAGAUCAAAUUGACAUAAUGUGUAAACAUUGUAGGUUAAAUUUAUUGAAUUUUUAAAAUUAGGAUCAAAUUGACAUAAUGUGUAAAAUAUCAAAGAUUAAAUUUGUUAUUAUACCUAGCCACAUCAUCAUUCUGUCUAGUGACAAAUUUAUUUUAAUGGUGGAGUGACUAAAAGUUACAAUUAAUCUAACAGGAGAGACUAAAUUAACCAAAAAAAAAAAACUCUAGUGACCAAAAUAGAAACACGUUAAAACUUAGGUGACUAUUACACUAAAAAAUACAUGAAGUAGUCAAACUUUGAUUUAAAAACAAUUAUAACAUUCGAUAUGGUUCGAGUACGCUAAAGCGCAUUAUCCUCAUAUUUAUGGGUUGAGGAGGGGCUAUGGGUAGUUCUAGACAUUGUGUCAAAAAAGAACAGACAUGAUCAGAAUCUAUAAUAAUAUUGUUCAAAAAAAUAAAAAAACAAUUAUAACAUUUACGAUAAACUCUUUUUUUUUAAAAUAUUUAUGAUAAACUUUGUUUCGAUACUCGUAUGGUUCUCACCCAUGCUUCACAUUGAGUUGAUUAUUUGUUUGUUUUUUAUUAUGGAUUAAAAUUUUGAAGUUUAAAAUAUGUUUUAAGUCCCCAUAUACUUCGUACAUUUGGAAUUUAGUCUCCUUACUUUUAUUUUUAGAAAUUUAGUCUCUCUAAUUUUUUUUAAAUUUAAAAAUUCAAGUUAUAUUGUUAUCACCAUUAAAAUUCUUUUAUUAAAUUCAGGGUUAAUAUUUGAUUAUUAUUUUUCCACUAGCAAUCUUAAAAAAUUGUCAUGUAUCUCUCUUUUUUUUAAUAUUUGUUUCUUUAAUAAUUUACAGUACUCUUAUAGGAUACUUAUCAAUCAUUUGACCCUUACAAGACACUUGUCAACUCAUUGAAAAUAAUUUAAAAAUCAAUUGAGCCCUAGUUGAAAAAUGUAAUCGAUUGUGUGUUUAAAUGAAAGUUAACAGUUAAUUGAACCGUUAUAGUUGUUAUUUCCAUUAAGGACCUCGCAGGUUGUUAACUCUUUAUUUAAUCUACACGGCGAUAUGUGAUUGGAUUAGAAUUUAUUUUAGUAUUAUGUUAAUUAAUGACAUGAAAAUUUAAAAUUAAGGAAAUAAAAUUACAAGCAAAAAAUAAAAUAAAAUAAAAACAUUUCCUUCUCGCUACUAUCGACUCACAUCACCCUGUCGUCACCACAUCCUAGCAUUUCGCGUCGACAACGCCAUCGAGAAUAAAUAAAUUAUAAUUGAAUUAUCGAGUAAUGGAAUAAAGUACAUUAAUAUUAGUAGAGGAAUGUAUUGGAUAAUAGAGAAGAUUCAAAAAUAAAUAAAUAAAUUAUAAUAUAAUAUAAUAAUAUACAAUAUACAAUAUACAAUAUUAUCAUUACUUCGCAAGCAAGGAUGGAGGUUAAUUAAUUUUCCGAAUUCUUUGCUUGCUCAUACGAUGAAAGCUAAAUAUUAUAUGGAUACUGAUUUCUUAAGUGUAAGUUUAGGAAAUAUACCUUCCUAUACCUUAUAGAGUGUUUGGGCGUUAAGUGGCUCCUCCAAAUCAGACUGUGUUGGCGUGUUGGGACCGAAACAAAAAUUUCAGUAAAGAAAGUUGCGUGGGUGCCGGGAGCUGUGGACUACAAAAUUCAAAAUGGGGAGAAUUGCUCGGACACUAUUGUGGUGGCAGAUCUAAUAAAGAAUACCUACUGCGAAAGUGAUGCAAGCAGAAUCUUGAGUAUUCCAUUGGCGAAAUUUUUGCAUGAAGGCUAUCAGGUGUGGUGAGGAGAGGCAUCCGGGAAAUAUUCUGUCUGAAAUGGCUACAAGCUUCUAUUACAAGGGACUAUGGAUCCUUAUCAUCUGUACAACCAGACUGAACAUAUGUAUUUUUACAAGAAAUUAUGGGGACAGAGCUUGCCCUCAAAACUGAAGAUUAUAGGAUGUCAUUUUUCCAUGAAUUUCCUUAGUAGUAUAGGGGCAAAAACUAAAAUUUGACUAUUGUCUAAUGUAAAGAAAAAACAGAACUAAGGCAAACCCAAAAAAAAAAGGGAAGUCAGUACAUUGAUCUUUAAGACUAUUAAGAUAUUCAAAUUAUAUAUAAUAUGAAAUAUUUUAAUCAAAUAGUUAAUAAUAUUAAUUAUAUAGACUGAUUAAUAAUAUUAUAAAAAUAUUUAUGUUAAAAAUUAAAAUAUAUAUUAAAUUUCAAAUAUUGAGAAAAGAAUUUGAAUUCCAAAUUUGAGUAUAACAAAAAAAACCAAAAUUUAAAUUUAAAUAUUUUUCAUAAUAUAAAAAAAGAGCACAUAAUGCUAUAUGGAAGGCCCUAAGGAAUGUACUUUUAUAUAUAGUUAUAUAUAGUUAUAUAGAAAACAAAGGAAGUUCCCCAGGAAUGUCCUGAGAUUUCGAUAGUUCGAAUUCAUAUUUUAUUAUGCAUAAAUGUCAUCUGGUUUCUCUUUUAAAUUAUUAUGGGUUUAAGUAUCAUCAUAUGUGGGUUCUGUCUAUAUUUAUUCUAAUCUAGAUCUAAAUUUAUUUUGUUUAUAAAUUUAUUGUAUUUUGUAAUGUGCUUGUAUUUGUAAACUCCUUUUUUUUUAAAAAAAACUUCUCAAAUUGAUUUUUUUUCUCUCACUUGUAUCUUAAUUGUUAUCAUAAUUAAAUAUGUUCAUGAGUCGGGCUAAACUUAAACAUGAUACUAACGUAUUUUAUUCCUGUUUAUGUCCGACCCGACCUGAAAUAUAGGUUCAAAAUUUUGUUAAAAUCUACCAAUAUUUAUAAAUGGUUAACCUAAACUCAUUUUAGGCCUAUCCAUAUUAUUUUUCAGAAAAAUAUUAAUUUUAAUUUAAUUUAUCUUUUAUUCAUUAAAAUUUUAUGCAUAGCCAACUUAAUAAUUUUUAAUGUUUACCUUAUAGACUAUAAAGAGAUGUAUGACAUUUAAUUUUAGUGUCAUUUAAGAUAAGAAUGAAGCUGAUUAAAAAUAAAUUAUACUAUGAUUAAAAAAUGUUAACCAAUGUCUAAGCACUAGUCGGCAUUAGGUUGUUUUAUAAUUUAAGAUUUUAUAUUAGUUUAUAUAUUCACGUGGAAUUCAAGUGUAAGAUUUUAUUUUUAAUCAUCUCAUUCGAUUCAUUAUUAGAGGGCUCAUGGAAUGGAUUGGGUCAAAUUCCGUUCGGGUUUGAGUAUGAUAUUAAUAUAUUUUAUUUUUAUCUAAGCUCGAUUCGACUCGAAAUAUGAGUUUAAAAUUUUGUUUAAACUUGUCCAUAUUUACAAAAAGUUAACAUAAGCUCAUUUUAGACCCGGUCAUAUUAUUUUUUUAAAAAAAUUUAAAAUUAUAUUAUAUUAUUAUAAUAUUUAUUAAUUUUAAUACAUCUUUUAUUUAUUAAAUUUUUUAUAUAGUCAUCUUAACAUUAUUUUAAUGUUUACAUUAGAGUAGUAUUAUAUAUUUGUAUAGAUUUAUUUUUUUAAUGUGUUCUAAAUUACAUAAUAUAUAAAAAUAAUAUAAUAUAAAGUAUUAUAAAUUUAAAAAUUGAUCAGGGCGGGUUGGGCUCGAGCCUUGACGGUUUAAGCCCAAGCCUAACCCAAAUUUUAAACUGCCCUAAUUUUUUUGCCCGAGCUCAUUUUUGGAACCUAAUAUUUUUAUCUAAACCCUCUCAAAUUUCGAACGAGCCUUCGAAUUUAAACGAAUAACCCAACCCGUGAACAAAUCUAUUCAUAAUUGAUACAUAUAUCAAAUAUUAGCUUUGAUUUAAAUUAUUGGUGGGACCAUAAGUCUAAUCCAAAUAUUUUUAAUAAAUAAAAUAUGUUUAUUUAAACUUAAUUAUAUCAAUAUAUCUAAAUAUUAAUAAAACAUUUUUAAACUUUAUUAAUAUUGAUAUGAACUUGAAGUCAAAAAAAAUAUUUUAGAGGCACAAAUUUCAGUUAUAAUUUUUUUUUUUUGAAAAAUUUUCAUUUUGUUAAGUUAUAAUUACAUAAUUUUUUAAAAGAUUAAAUUAAUAUUUUAUUAAUAUUUUUUUUUAGUUUCAAUGCAUUAAUACUAAAUAUGAUUUAAUAUUAAUAUUGUAUAAGGUGUUGCUAAUUGUAUAUAUAUUCAUCUAUUUUGUUGUGGUGAUGUUAUUUUUUAAAGUUUUAUAUGUUUUUAAUUAAUUAUAUAUUUUUUUUCGUGUUCAUUUUUUUUAGAUAUAUAUAAUUUUCGUACAUUAAAAAUUAAUUGUAUGUAUAUUUUGAUAAAUUGUACAUGUGUGUCAUGUUUAUGUUACUUUCAUUUUGUAAUAUAUUUUGUAUAGUUUGUCAUAAUUAUUCAAUUUAGAGAAAUUAUUCUUUUAUUCGUGUUAUGUAUCAAUUUAUAUCAUAUUUUACGUAAUUUGUCAUACAGAUUCAAUUUGUAGAAAAAAAAAUUAUGUUCAUAUUGUAUUCAUGUUAUGUAGAUUUUAACACAUGAUAUUUGUGUAAUGUACAUAUACUUUUUAUGACAUCAUGAACACGUGUUUUUAUCAUUUUUUAUUAUUUUAUUAUAUCUUAAAUUAUGUCAUACUUUUUAUGGUCUUUCAUGAUAAUUUAAUUUUAAUUUUAAAUUCAUUAAUUUAAAAAAACAUCGUAACACUUGUAUAUAUUUGAUUCAAUGCCUAAGUAAAACAUCAUCCCUCAAUCCUUAAAGUGGAAUAAUAUGCACUUAAUCGUACUUGAAUUCACAUCCUCUAAGUUAUUGUAAUAAUAUUAAUAUAAAUAUUAUAUUUAAAACUUUCAUUUGCUUUUUCAAAACCAAACGAUGGUAUACUCUAGAACUAAUUAUAUUUAUAUUAUUUUAUUGUUAUUAUUUUUAAGUGCAAUGGAAAUUCCUCGAUAAUUUAUACAUUUGUGUAUUGACGAGACCAUUCACUAUUUUUUGAAGCUUAAUCUCUUCCCCUAAAUGAAUUAUAUAACCAAGAGAAACUAUGAACUGGAAUAGAAGAACUUGCCCUUCCUAUGAAUAAAUAUUUCAUAGUAGACUCUUUAGACAUACAUAAUUCUUGAUGUAUCUAGAUAAUAGGUAGGAGCAUAACCUGAAACAUUUUUUAACUACGAAGAUAGUUAUUAAAUCAUUAGCACCACAUAAAAACAUUUCUCUUAGAGUGACUAUAGAUAUGAAUAAUAGAAACUCUGCUAUAGUUAUUUUUAUACAUUCAAUAUACCCUACAGGCAAAGGAAUAUAUAUAUUGAACAUAGUAAAAUAAGAAAUUGAAAGAUUUUAUUGAAAUUAUUUGAAAAUUUCCUCAAAAGCUAAUCAAAGGUAGUCAUAGGUUCUUUAUCUUUAAUAAAACAAUAAGGCAUUCUGCUCGUUACUAAACUUAUUGAAGAGAGGAAAUAUAAUCAAUAUUUUUUUAUCAUAAGUUGAAUCAAUCAUAAGAAAAAAAUUUAGGUAAAAAAUUCAAAUACAUUAUGAGGAAAAUAAAGCUUCCAUCAAAGAAAAGCAAAUGAAAGCCUUUCAUAAAAUUUCUCAUAAAACUGAGAAUGAAGUUUUCAUUCUGUUGAGCAUGACUCAUAUUUCAAUCAAAUUUGAGAAAUAAUUUUUCAGUUAAACUCUGUUUAUUUGUUUCAAUCAAACUUUGAUUAGUCUAUAUUAUUUUAUUAUUGUAACGCCCUAAAUAAUUUAAGUCUACUUUUGUGAAAUUUGGCACAAAUAUGUAUUUGCUUCAAUGGUUAAGUGUUCUGGGUGUGUGUGUGAGGUCUUGGGUUUAAGCCCCACUUUUGGAUAUUCUGUUAUUUUUUAUCCUAGCCUUAUCCCUGUUGGGUAGGUUUUUGUAAUAUUGUUUCUAAACUCACAUUAGAAUGAGCCUGCUGGUUUGAGUGGUAAGGAGUUAGCUUGCUGAAGGUCUUGUGUUUGAAUCCUUACGUAAACGUGGAUGAUAAUUUUUGUUUUGAUCGUCUGUUAGAGGUUCAGUAGAAUUAGGAGGCUGAAGUAAGUGGAUAGUGGAGUAGCGGGAAGUAGAGAGAUUAUAGGAUAAUUUUUGCCAAAAUAAUCAAAUGGUUAUUUUUUAUUUUUUAUUUUUUAUUUUCUUUUCCUCUUUCCUUCUGACGUUUUCUUCU